rnacentral:lncRNA from 1 species
ACAUCUCGCUACGAAAUCCAUCUUCGGAAUAAUGCUUCGGGAGCUUUUACUCCUGCCAAACGCAUCCAAGCUUGUUUUUGAUGGUAGUAGAAGAGGUAAACCUCCAAACACCAUCUUACCAAGUUCAUUUGUUUUAACUUUGUUUGACUAAUGAAACUAAAACUUCAAAAAGGCAAAAAAAAAAAAAAAAAAAAAAAAACUAUAUAUAUAGUGAUUCUAGAAUAAGGUUUGUAGCAGAUGAUCAACAGCAACAACUUGCUUGUAUGUUUAGGAUGUUAGAGAGGCAAGAUGAACUAAUUAUGAUGUGUAAUAGGAUUAUGAAAAAUACUUGAGUGUGUUAGAAAAUUGUCAGUUUCUUGACACAGAAGUAUUCGUUGACGAUGGUUUUAAAGAUGAAGAAUGAGUGGCAGGGAAAUUUUCUUUGCUUCCAUACAUCCCUGUUGGUGAACUGCAAGGUUUGAGAGUUUGUCAUUGUGUGUGUUUGAUUCAAAGGGCAUGAAAGAGGAAAACAGUUGAGUAAUGUCUGAUGUCUGUAAAUUAUAAUUUAAGCUAUGGUGUCACUUGUUCAUGUGUGUGCUUGUGAUGAAGGUGUAUUAGUAAAACCUUCAAACCCUCAGCUAAUUUCAUAAACAUUUUUCUUUUCUUCAUUUUUUCAUUUUUCAAUUCACAUCUCUACUGAUAUCCCAAGGAUAUAUAUAACAUAUUAGUUUUACUCAUGAAAAAUUUAUUCUCCAAUGAUACUCUCAUACUCUCAUGCUCUCAAACUUGAAUCGCCCUAAUGACUAAAAUCACAUUUUAGUCGAGGUUAUUUUUCUUUCGAAAUGGUAAAUUGCUUUUAAAAUUUAAACUAUUUUGAAACCUUGAAAACACGAUGGUAAUCAAACCAAAACUUUGUGACUUUCGACCAAAUUUACAUUUGAAAAUGGAGAAUUAAAGACUUACAUUGAAGAUAUUGUAAUUUUCUUUUGGCACAAUGGUAGCAAAUGGUAACUUAAACAAAAUGAGUCGAAAUGAAGGGAAAAAUCUGUCCAAGGAGGAUUGUUUUCAAGUGAGAGAGUCAAAAAACCAAAGGUUUGAGCAUGAGUGGCUAGCUCAUCACCUACUGUGGAAGAGAUGAGGAAUAGAGUAUAUGAAAGCUUGGAUGAUCUCGUUAGCAGAACUGGAAUUUCCAACAAAAGAAACUUACAAAUAAGAAGAGAACUUACAAAUAAUAAGAGAAUUAGUUUCUACUCAAAACAGGAAUAUAUUAGCCUCAAGACCUCUACAAAGGCCCUUGAUGGCCUUGGCAAGCUUAACAAAACCUGCCAAAGGAGUAAUUUUCUAAGGUAGGCAUUACAUAUCAACAUUCAAGUUCUAAAUAAUGGUGUCAAUCCCAAACAUCGCUGUUUAGAAACAUGCAUCAAAGUUGAGCUCAAAAGAACCUUGAGAAUUAGGAGCGAAAUGUAAUUAUAAAACAUAUGUAAAAUAAAUUCAUUUUCGCCCGAAUAAAACUAAUUUGUUUGAGAUUUCUAACUAUAAUUGAAUUUGCUACUUCUUUAAUUUUAUCGUAUGUUCAAUAAGGUCAUAUCUAAAAUAUAGACAUCAAACAGAGUAUGUCAUUGUAAUUGACAUUUUAAAUUUUUAUAGAAAGGAAAUAAUGAGAGAAGGAGGUAAGAAGGUAAGGAGGUAAGAGUGUAAGUUGUUGCAACAAUUUUGAGUAACUUCUCUGUUUGUUGAGUAUUUGAAUACUAAAGCAAAACAUUAUGAUAGCGGUACAUUUUCUUUAAACAAAUUUCUAAAUUUAUGAACUAGUUAAAGCUAGUUAUCCCUACAAAUUCUCAAUUUGAUAAACAUAAUCUAGAGUUGGAUGUAACAAAGAGAGAGAAAGAGAAAAAGUAGAUCAAAUGGCUAUAUACAAACAUAAUGAAGUGGGUUAAUAGAGAAACACUUUAGAUUUUCCAUUAAAGGGCCUCAUUAGUGAUUAAUUCACAAACCAAGUAAUAACUUUGAUUCUAAUAGACUAAAUAUCUCCUAAGAUGUUGGACAUAUGUUCAUUUCUUUAAAUUGUAAUUCACUUCUGUUUGUUGUAAGCAAAUAAAAUACUAUUCCAAUUUCAAAUUGAUCAAAUUUUGUAACUUAAUCCAAACAAAUCAUAAAAACUAUGGGUACAAAAGUUUUAAUUUUUUUUGUUAUAUUAAGUAGAACAAAAAUAAGCAAGGUAGGUAAGGUAAGUGAAAUUUUAAAAAAUAAAAUAAAAGGAUUAAAAAUGAUAAAGAUGAAGAAUUUGGUAAAGAGUGGGAGUUUGAAUUUUGUUGUAAACUGUGAGGGUAAGGUUUAAAAAAUUUGCUAAAUAUAAGCAAAGAUUUUCUUUUUAAAAUGAAAAAAAAAAACAGUAUGAGAAGAGCUUUGAAUGCUAACAAACAUGGUUAGCAACAAGAACCCAUUAUUUGUUAGUUCAAUUCUGUUGCCUCAAACUCCAACCACUUUUCAAAAAACUCUUUCUUUCUUCUUCAUAUUUCUCAUACUUUUAUUUUUCAUCUCUUCUUCUUUAUAAAAUCCACACAUUUCUUUAUCCACACCCAUAAGCUCUUUCAGCUCUUCCCAACAAAUUUCCCUUUUCCUAAAACAAAGCAAUGGCUUCCAAUGUCACCAUUUACAAUGAUGUUUUUGGUUCAGAUCAUGGGAGUUUCCUAACCCUUUGCUUGAAUACGCCUCCCAAGAUUAAUUCCGAUGGCAUUUGGGAAUUUGUUUUUGGGGCUGCUCGUAAACUUAGGUUUUCUCCUCUUCCAUUGUUGGAGUUUCAAAUGCUGCUUAUUUUCUUUGUCAAUAUCAUCCUCCAUUCCUUCCUUCGCCUCUUUGGUCUCCCUCUUUUUGUCUCUCAAAUAAUUGUAAGUCUCUCUCUUCCUCUUUUUCUAUUCUUUUUACUUCUUAUAGUCUUCUUCUUUUGAUUUUGUAUUUUAGAUUUCCUUAUUUAAUGAUGUGGUCUCUUUUGCUUUCAAUUAUAAAUAUGUGUAUUGCCUUUUCCACUUGGAACAUAUAUAUUAUGUUACACCAUGGUAGGAUAUCAAAAUUAUGCUAACGAAUUGGAAUUAGAAACCCUUUUGGUACGAGAAACCACUUAUUUCAUUUUCACUUUAAAAAUUGGUUUCACACGAAUUCCAAACAACGAUACAACUUACAAGAAAUGAUGAUUGAUGAAAUUUAAGAAGCUAUUCUAGCUUAGCUUAAAAGGAAAAGCCCAAAGGCUUAUUCAAUUUAUCAUUUUAUAUCAAACAACUUAAUGGAAGACUUUAAAUAAUCUCCGGAUCAAAAUCUUAAUGCCACAUCUUAUAUCAUAUCAUAGUAAAAUGACAAAAAUACCCCUAUGAUAAAAAAAAAGUUAAAAUUGGAAAACACUAAGAUUGCAUCAAAAUUAUUAAAUAUAAUAUAGAUAAUAACUUGUAACUUAGAUUAAUGUUUGAGUUUAUUCAUGAUAAGAGAAGAUCAUUGAAUGUAUGGAGAAGUAAUAUUUUAAGCUGAGGUUUCGAAUGUGAUGAUGAUUUAGCUUGUCUUUUCUCUGCUUCUUUUGUUGGUGCUUCGCCACAGACUGGCUUGAUACUUGGAUCAUCAUGGAGGGGAAGUUUUGAAUCAUUUGACAACUUCAAAGAUGGUGUAUUUGCCACUGCAUCACAAGAAAUAGUGGGUUUGCUGGCAGGAUUUGGGUACACACUUUUUGUGUUUCUUAUUGGAGUUAGGAUGGAUUUAAGUGUGGUUAAAAGAUCAGGAAGGCAAUCUUUGAUAGGUGGUAUUUUAUCAAUAGUUAUUCCUGCAAUACUUGGUUCGUUGACAGCAUUUGGUUUAUCAAGAUUUAGUAAGACACAUGGAACGGCUGACAUGGAGUUUAUAGCCGCACACCAAUCAUACACUUCAUUUGCUGUUAUGGUUUGCCUUCUUGACCAUCUCAAAAUUCUGAAUUCUGAAGUUGGUCGUUUGGUACUUUCUACUACAAUUGUAGCUGAUUUGGUGGGUCUGAGUUUCUCCUUGAUAAUUACUGUUAUUGAAAAUGUUCGAAGCCAGGGUGCUUUGAAUGGCUUGAUGACUUUUGCUAUGGCGAUUGGAUCGUUGGUCCUUAUUGUGUUUUUGUUUCGUCCUGCGAUGCUCUGGAUUGUUAGGUCUACACCAAGUGGGAGGCCUGUGCCGGAUGGAUACAUAUGCAUCAUCAUUCUAUUGGUGCUUGUAUCUAGUGUAACUUCUAACAUUAUGGGACGAACCGUUUAUUCAGGACCAUUUAUCUUGGGUUUGACUGUGCCUGAAGGACCACCUUUAGGAGCCAGUCUAGUGAAGAAACUGGAUAGCAUUAUUACAUCGGUUUUCGUUCCGCUCUUUGUCACUAUUUCUGUGAUGAAGGUUGAUCUUUCAUUCCUUUACUACGAUGGAGAAUUUUUGAUCCAUUCUAUUAUUGUGAUCUUUAUAUCCAGUAUUGGAAAAUUGGCUGUUUCUGUUGGUACUGCUCUAUAUUUCAAGAUGUCUUCUCAUGAUGCCUUGGCAUUUGGCCUCAUAAUGUGUAGCAAAGGCAUUGUAGAGCUUGCUGCUUGCUCUUACUUUUAUGACAGCAAUGUAAGGGUUUACAUAACAUUAGAUUUAUAUAUAUAUAUUUAUAUUUAUACAUAACAUUAGAUUUAUAAGUAACUUUUGGUCCUUUUGGUGUGAAAUUUGCAGUUAUUAUAUGAGCAGACUUUUGCAGUGUUAAUUGCUGAUAUUUUGAUUUUCUCGAUACUGAUGCCGAUGGUCGUGAAAUGGUUCUAUGAUCCUUCAAGAAAAUAUUCUCACUACCAGAAAAAGAACAUUCUCAAUUUGAAGCCUGAUGCUGAGUUGAGCAUACUAGGAUGCAUUCAUACGCAGGAUGGUCUUCCUGUUUUGCUUAACCUUCUCGAUGCAUCAUGCCCGACCGAGGAGUCUCCUAUUUCUCUGUAUGCUCUUCACCUUGUAGAAUUGGUUGGUCGAGCUACGCCGGUUUUCAUCACACAUGAGCUUCAUGAACAAAAAAGUUCAUCCGAAGUGAUGGUCUCAGAUAGUAUUAUUCAAAUGCUUCGCAAGUACGAAAUGAGGAACGAAGGUGUUGUAUCGAUUGAGGUAUUCACAGCAAUUGCUCCGAUGAAACUAAUGCACGACGACAUCUGCACCGUAGCGGUUAAAAAGCUCACUUCCAUUAUAAUUCUUCCAUUUCAUCGAAGAUGGACAAGAGAAGGAUUCGUGGAUUCAGAGGAUAGCACAAUAAGGGCAUUAAAUUGCCAAGUCCUUGAGCGAGCACCGUGCUCAGUGGGAAUCCUCAUUGACCGUGGCCAUCUUUCGAGCUAUCGUUCGUUUGGAGGUUCUUGUGCAUCGUUAUUACAAGUUGCAAUGGUUUUUCUUGGUGGUCAAGACGACAGGGAAGCAUUUUCGUUUGCUAGACGCAUGGUUAAAGAGGUGAGUAGUGCUCAACUCACAGUGAUACGGUUAAUUGCAGAAGAUGAGAGCAUAAGCCAUUGGGAGAUGGUUCUUGACACGGAACUGUUGACGACGACGUGAAGCAUAGUUUUGUAGGGGGCGAACCUUUCAGAUAUGUGGAAAGGAGAGCGGAUGAGGGAUCAGAGACAGCAACAAUAAUAAGAUCUAUUGGUGAUGAAUAUGAUCUUAUCAUAGUUGGAAGAAGAGAAGGAAUUGAUUCACCACAAACUUUCAGGUUUUUGAUGGAAUCUGGAAUGAGUUUCCUGAACUUGGGAUCAUUGGAGACAUGCUUGCCUCUGCUGAUUCACAUUUUAAAGCCUCCACCUUGGUGGUUCAACAACAACAACAAUGGUCAUUCUAUAAACAAUGAUCAAUCAAUUACAUCCAUUUUUAGUGUUUUUAUUUUGGUAUAAUUUAAGAGCAAUACUUGAGUGUAUUCUUGGUUGUACCCGUCUUUCUGCAACACACUCCAAUUAUACCCAACAAAAAAAAUUGAGAAACUGUAAUUGGGCGAUAAAAAGAGUUGCAAAAAGAUAGGUGGAGCUAAUGUUGUACCAACAUUCUUUUUUUCAUUCAUAUUUUAAUGUAUCAUAGUUUUAGGCCAUAUUGUUGAUUGGAACAAAUCUAUUUUUUACCUUUAUGAAGUUGUUCUUUACAAGGUGGUCUUCAAUUAAUAGUGUGCUCCCCUUGCUAUUUAUCUUCAAAAUGGCAAAACACACAUACCUAUGUGAAUACAAAUUCAUUUUCAUUUUCUUUUUCAUGUAACAAUAUUUUUAUAUAUGAGUGAUUUCUUUUAUACUAAUUAACAAAAAUAAUAAGGUUGAGAAAUAGACGUGGAAUAACUAAAGGAAAGACUACACAGAAAAAUUUUACUAUGUGAAAAGUUAUUUUGACCCCAAUUAUAAUAGCACUCUUUCAAAGUAUUAUAUCACUGCAUUAGUAUUUCCACGCUUAAUAUGUUUCAAUUGAAACUCAAAACUUAUUUUACAUUGCUUUGAAGCUCGUUACUUUCUUGAACUUUUUUUCGAGGUAAAACAACUACAUUUCUAACAUUUUAUUAAAACUUAGCAAAUUCCACCUUCACUUCUCAUUCUCCUUUCCAUCGACAAAAGUUGACUAGUACCUUUAACAAAACUUAAAGUUUUCUCUUUCUUAACAUCAAGAUUUGCUUCAAGUAUUCAUAAAGAGGGGAAGUGACAAGAUGUAUUUGAGUGUGGUAUCUUCAUCAUUUAUCUUCACUCCAAUCAUCUCUAGACGAUGUCAUGCAUUGAGAAUAACGCUAGAUUGAUAUGAGUUUUUGUAACUUCUACCAAUCCUAGUGUGAUUUGCUUCUUGAUCAUGUACAAACAUUGAGAUACUCUUUUUUCUUCAAGCUUCUCGGUUUAGGAUUUAAGGUUUAGUAUUUAGUGAGAAUAACUAAAUUUGUCUACGAAGAAUUUCAAGAAUUCUUUCAUGAUCCCAAAAUUUAUACAAUGCAACAAACACUCCGCAUACUCAGAAAUUUAAGAAACUACAAAACCCUAAAGCUUUAAUGUUACUUUUACUACCACACAAUAAACAAAUAAACUAACAAAGAAAGUCAUAAGAUAGGGAACACAAGAAUUAGCAUGAGAAAAUCCAACCAUUCAAUAAAAAUAAUUGUACUAUUUGAAAAAUUAUUACAAUCCCAUACUCUCUCCUAGCAUUGUAUCAUUGACACGAUUGAGCUAGUAUAUUAAACUUAAUUAACACAUUUCAAAUUGAGAUAAUUUGAAAACUAAAGAACAACUCCUUUUAUACAGUGUUUGAUAGUAUUGAAAACUUGUUAUCGAAUCCCGCUUAAUUUUGAAUUGUUCUUAGAUUUUAUAUUCAUGUUGGAUCAAUAUGGCAACUCUAGAGGGGUGAAUAGGGUUUAAUUAAACUUUUUAAUAAAUAUGUCCAAACUAAAUUAAUUAGAUAAUUUUUGAAUUAAAUACAAAACUUUAGCUAAUUUAUGUUAAAUAACAAGAUGUUAGAUUUAUUUUAAAUAUAAUAUUAUCAUUAAUGUAGCGCAUUAUAGGUCAUUUUAUAUUUUUGGAGCCAUUAUUUUAUUAGGCCUAUUACAUAAAAAGAUAAUGCCCUAAUUAAACACGGUGUAUAUCUAACUCUUCCCAUCAAGAAAAUUAAUUAUGUUAAGAGAGGUCAAGUGAGAGAAACACAAUCUUUUAGAAGACCAUUCAUGGAUCAAGGUAUAUGAUUAUUUAUCUAAGUUUAAUUUUUAAAAUCAUCUAGUUCAAAUAUCUUGGCACUUAUUGUUAUAUACAAUGCUAGAGUUUUAUUGUAUAAUAAUGAAACUAAAGUUUAUACAAGAUUGAUAAAAAAAAAAUGUAUAAUAAAAUAUAGAAUCAAUCUCCAACCAACAAAAAUAUGCAACUAAAAUUAAAUGAAAAAAUAAUUAGAAAAGAGUUAGGAAAGAAGACACCACAAUUUCAUAGUGGUUCAGUCAAACUCGACCUACAUCCACUUUUCCAAGCACUACUGAAGAUUUUGAUUAAAAACCUUAUUUUGCCUCUUUCCACAAAUAAGAAUCGAAUCGUUACUAGCUUCUUUUUCGGGUUUAAGAACAAACCUAAUCCUUUCUAUGGGUUAGGAUCCGACCACCACAAUAUGUUGAAGCUUUAAAUCACACAAAAGAAAACACUAUAAGAAGGUGAGUGCAAUUUUUGAGUUCACAACAAUUAAUCCUCAUACUACAAUACAAUAAGAAUUCUACAGGGAUUAUUAGAAGUUUUAGAGAAAAUAAGAAGGGUGACUUUUCAAUUUUUUUUAGAAUUACAAAAGUAAGAGGAAAUUAUUAAGAUCCAAGUUAUUUUUUGGUUAGAGGUAAGUAAAAUAAAAUAAAAUCAUUGAGAUUUAAACUAUAGUCAUUAGACACAACCGCAUACAAUAAUAUAAUAAUAUAUCAUUUUAAAAAUAAUUAUUUUAAAACUCAAGUUCACCAAUCGUUUUAAAGAGCUGGUCUUUAUAUACAUAAAUAAUAAUUUAAAUUUAUUUUCUUUUUCAAAGCCAAUAAAAUAAAACAAAAUUGAUUUGUGUUACUCCUCCUUCUUUCUUUAAUUUUGGUUAUAUUCGAUUAUUUGACCGCCACAUCACCAUCUCAGAUUUUUUUUGUUAAGAUUUUUUUCGUUUGAACUCCGAUUUUCGUGAUUCAAAAGGCAUCAUAAUGGUUGUUCUGAGCUCUAUCUUAUGAACUAUUUAAAAUAAUAAAAUGACCAUAUUUUAAAAUAGCAAAAUAAAUUAAAAUAUUUACAAGCUAGAAAUUUUUUUUGGAUUCUAUCAAAAAUAGAACUGAUAGACUUAUAUUAUUGACUAUCAAUGUAUUUUGUUAUAGUUUAUAAAUAUUUUGUCAAAUUUGUUAUUUUUAACAACUCUUCAUAAUAAAAUUAUAUAUAUAAAAAAUUAUAUUUAUUACUAUCAAAACAUUAAUUAAUUAAUUAAAAUUAAUUAAUCUCAGAUGAUCAAUGGCUAAAAGAACAGUUAAUAUAGAACGAGACUUCAACCUAAAAUUACAAGAACGAGAACAAUGAACUUAGAAGAGAUAACACAUGCACGCAAUGCAACACAAUCUCAAAGGAGACUUCAACCUCACUUUUGUUUUUUUUUGUCUCCCAAAAGAUUUAAUUAGUUAGACAACUGAUUUAAUGCACUAAUAGUCUCUAUUUUGAAUUCUCAUAUAAUAACUUUUUUUUGUAAGAUUAUACAAUUCAUUAAAGUUUAAUUAAAUCAUUUUAAAGGAGUUGGAGUUUAUGUGUAGCUCUUAUCUAAUUUAGUUCUUUAUUUCUUCAAUUUUUGUUACAUGCACAAUAGUAGUUUAUUUAGUUUGCAACAAUUUGUGAUGUUUAGAGAUGUUCAAUAAUAGAUGGGUUGGACAUAGCAACAGACCCACACCUAUUUUAUUCUUCUUCCUUCUAAAAUUCUUCACUUGAGAAGUUAGAGAUGGGAGAAAGAAUUCAUUUCUUUUUAAAAAAAAAAUCAAUUAAUGGAAACCAACAACUAUUGAAAACUGAUAAUUAAACCGUUAAAUUUCUCACUUUUAUUAAUAUAUAUAAUUUUAGUUUACUAACAAAUUAUUCAAAGUUCUAAUCUUAUAAAAUAUUUAUACACGAUAUAAAUUUAAAUAUUCAAUUCCAUGUUAUUUUCUCUCUUUUUUUUCUUUUUUUAUGCGGAAAUGAAGUCAGUGGGCCCAAUCAAAAUAUAUUAUUAUUAUUAUUAUUAUUAUCAUCAUCAUCCUUAUUAUUAUUAUUAUGUUUAUUAUAAUUAUUACAGUAUUAAAAUUUUAAAAUAACAAAAUCUAUGUAAAAAUUAUUACUUAAAAAAUUAUUUUCUUAAAAUUAUAAAAAUAUUUUACUUAUUAUUCUUCAAUCAAACACAUAUAUAUACUCAAAAGACAGUUAGUUUGUUAUUGAUUUAUAUCCUAUCUCAAUUUGUUCACACACAAUUAGUUUGUUAUUGAUUUAUAUUCUAUCUCAAUUUGUGUUUGGUAUUGAUUUAUAUCUCAUCUCAAUUUAUCUUUCCAUCUCCUAUUACUUUUUUUUUAAUAACAAAUCAUUUCUAAUUUGUAUGAAUUGGAAAUUAUUAAAUAUUUUUGUAACAAAAUUGAACAUUAAAAAAUUGAAUCUAUACAAUAUCAAAAAUUAUAAAGUUAAAAAAAAAAUCAUCAAAAUAUCAAAAGAAGAGUUAAAUAUAUUAAAAAUGAAAUUAAACAAUAAAGUUACCACUUACCUUCCUACUUAAAUAGUUCAUUCCACUAAUUUUUUUUAUAAUAAUAAUAAUAAAACAACAACAAUAAUUUAUAGCUAGUGGGACCCACUCCACAAAAUGACAAAAAAAGAAAACACCAAUUUUCCCUAAAUAGUUUUGAAGACACCUAUUUUUUCCAAUCUUUUUUUAAAAUCACCACAAUUUUUCAAAUCAACCAAAUUAAUAAAACACCUUAGGACAAUUUGGGAAUAAUGAAUAAACCAAAAAUUGGAUUCUAAUCGGCAAAAACUAGGUGAAAUAUGCCUUCUAAUAUUAUUUUGUAUUCCUAAUUGGCCACUUUUUGCAAAUUCCUUAAAUAAAUAUGCAUAUAAUCAAAUUAUUAACUAAGUUCGAUAAUAUGCAACUAUAAUUAAUUAUAUAAUUAAGAGUUUAAAAAAAGAAUCGCUGAAAAAUAGUAAAUUUGACAAAAUAUUUACAGGUUAUAGUAAGAUUUCAUAUUCUAUUUUUGAUAGAUAUUGAUAUCCUUUUAUGAGUAGUAUUGAUAGACAGUGAUAAAAGUAUAUCAGUUUCUAUCCGUGAUAGAAUCCAAAAAAUUUGCUAUAAAUUGUAAAUAUUUUAAUUUAUUUUUCUAUUUUAAAAAAUGUCUAUUUUUUAGGGGGUUUUGGUUUUCCAAAAGGAGAAAAAAACAAAAUAUUUACUCUAUAAAAGAACUACUAAAAUAUAAAAUUUAUUACAAUUGAUUUUUUUAUACCGUGUAAAUAUUUUGUCAUUUUUUUUAUUUUUAAAAUAGAAAAUAGAAAUACCAUCUUUUAUUUUUGGCGAUUAGAUACGGAAAAGUGUCUUUUUUAGUUGAAAUAAAAAGCAAAAAUAAAAAAAUUGAUGUAAGUAAAAAAAUUUAUAUACUCCUCUAUUUAUACUAUAAAUUUUUAACGUAAGAAUCUUGUUAAUAUGUAGUUUUGCUAAAAUGAAUAAACAAUAUGUAGUGGUAAAUUUUAAAAAGUAAUAAUACUAAAGAUAUAUAUCAUAAAGCUUAAAUGAGUAUUUCUUUAUAUACAAUGUUUUUUUUUAUUAUAUUUUUGUUCACACGAGAUUUCGAAGAAAUGUAUUUCGUGGAAUUGAACUUUGAUAUAUUGAUGAAUAUUGUAGAUACAAUCUCUAGUAUUUACUUCUUUGAUGCUUUCUCUCGAAUACAAGUUAAAACUUAGAACUUCUUGAUCUUAGGUCUUCAGGAUGUUGUUGUUGCAAGUCGAUUUGAACUUCGAUCUUCUGAAAUUCAAGAAAAGUUUAAUCUUUUAAGUUUUCAGUCUCUCAGAAGUUGUUGAUCUCAAGAUUGAUACAAACUUGCACGUCUUGAGAGCUUGUAGAAGUUUAAUUCUUCAAUGCUUCAGAGCUUCAGUACUUAAGAGCUUCAAUUCUUCCUUCAACCAAAGACUCCCAUUUUAAAUGAAUGGCAAUAGUCUCUAUUUAUAGGAAAAUUUCAUGGGUUUUAGAUGGGUUUGGGCUCAUUUGCUUGUUAGACCCAUCUCUUCUUGGACUUGGACUUGAGCUCAUUUGUUUGUUGGACCUGAAUUUGGUUGAGUUGAGUAAACUUAAUUAUCCAAACUCAAACAAAAGUAUAAUCAUCACCAUAUUUACUGUGAUGAUGUGACAUAAUUUAGUUGGUUAAAAAUUUUUUUUCAACAAAUGCCCCUUUUUGAAAUUUGUGCAUGUUUACAUGGUGGGUGAAUCUCGAAAACGAUAAGCUGAAACAAGUGAAUUUGUUCUUGUAUUUGGCGCUAGUUAAUAUGUCAAUUUAAUCAUAAUAUGCAUUUGGACAUAAGUGUGAUUAAAAUGUUAUAUAAAGUUUGGUGAAUUUUAAGUUUAAUUCACAUUUUUUUUUGUUUACAUUAAAAAUCAUUUGGAAUAUGACCAUUUGUUUUUAAUGAAAUUGAUUUUUUUUUUUUACCGAUGAAUUUAAUGAGAGAGUUGAGAUUUAAAAUUUAAAAUUGAUAAAAUUGGGAUAUUGCCAAGUCAUCAAAAUAUGAAUUUAAGUCAGUUUUUUUCUUCUUAUUUUGAAUUUGAAAUAAAUUAAUGAUUUGGGGUAAAGUUUAACACUUUUACAAAACCAAACAAGAUUUAGGGAUUUUAUUAUUAUUUUUGUUUAAAUAUAAAAAAAUGGAUUUAAUUAGGAAAUAUCUUUUCAAAAGAAUUUUUUUUUAAUUAGUUUAUUUGAUGCAUUUUUUAAAUAAGGAGAAAGAUUAGGAAUUAAUCCAACUCCUAACUAAAUCUUAACUCCGAACUCAAUCUCCAUUUUGUUGAGAAGUUUGGUUGAGAUUUGGCACCUUCCCUACUUUAUAAAUAGAAAAGAAUGAGUGAAAACAAAAAUCACAACACUUCCUUCGCACCAUUUCUCUCAAGGAUUCUUCUUCAAUUUUUUUUUUUAUUCUUUCUGUUUUAAUUUUCUUUUCUUUUCUUUUUCUUCCUUUCUUAUUUUUUUCUUAUAUUUUUUUCGAUUACUUUUCUUAAAAAGAAAACUUUUUCUUUCCUUUUCGUUUUUUUCUUCAUUUUUCAAAUACUUUUUUUAAAAAACUUUCUUUUUAUGUUUUCCUUUGUUUUUUUGUCUAUUUCUUUAUUUCUUUAUUUUUUUAUAUAAUUCUUUUUUUUCUCACUUUUUAUCUUUUGAAGAUGGAGCACACCAAACUUGAUCGAACACGAAAAUGAAGAUGGAGAUCAGAUCGGCUAUGGCACAUCGAAGACAAAAAUAGAGAUGGAGAUCCGAUCGGCUGCAGCACAUCGAAGACGAAAAUGGAGAUGGAGAUCCAAUUGGUUGCGACACAUCAAAGAUGGGAAUGAAGAUGAAGAUCUGAUCGAUUGCGACACAUCGAAGACGGAAAUGGAAAUGGAGAUUCGACUGACUGCAUAUGGAAGACAAAGAUGAAGAUGGAGAUCUGCACAUCAAAGAUGGAGAUGGAGAUUCUGAUGGUUGUGGCACGUCGAAGAUGCAGAUGGUGACUACAGCACAUCGAAGAUGCAGAUAAUGAUGACCACAUCGAAGAUUCAGAUGAUGACGAUUGCAACACAUCGGAGAUGCAAAUGGUGACAACAACGACACAUCAAAGAUGCAGAUGAUGACCACUACAACACAUCAAAGAUGCAAAUGAUGACCACUACAACACAUCAAAGAUGCAAAUGAUGACCGCUACAACACAUCAAAGAUGCAGAUGACGACGACUGCAACACAUCAAAGAUGCAGAUGACGACGGCUGCAACACAUCAAAGAUGCAGAUGACGACGGCUGCAACACAUCAAAGAUGCAGAUGACGACGGCUGCAACACAUCAAAGAUGCAGAUGACGACGGCUACAACACAUCAAAGAUGCAGAUGACGACGGCUACAACACAUCAAAGAUGCAGAUGACGACGGCUACAACACAUGGAGAUGGAGACUCUGACGGCUGCGACACGUCGAAGAUGCAGAUGGUGACAACAACGACACAUUAGAGAUACAGAUGGUGACAACAACAACACAUCGGAGAUACAGAUGAUGGCGACAACAACACAUCGGAGAUACAGAUGAUGGCGACAACAACACAUAGAGAAGAUGAAAAUGAAUCAUCUCAAAUGUAACACGUGGGAGAAGAUGAAUCCUCUCGGUUGUAACACAUGAAAAAGAUGAAAAUGAAUCCUCUCGGCAGCAACACAUGAAGAAGAUGAAGAUGAAGAUCCUUUCAGCUACAACACUAUGAAGAUGAAGAUCCUUUCAGCUAUAAUUUUUGAGAGAAGAUGAAGAUGAAGAUCCUUUCACGUGCAAUACUUGAGAGAAAAGGUAGAGCUCGCUAUUUUGACUUUGCCUCCUUUGCCCCCUUUCUUUUCUAUUGUAACUGCUCAUGAAUUUCAUUUUCUAUUGAGAUUAAAUCAUCACAAUGAAACAUAAUACCUUCUUUUUUCGUGCAACUGAACUUAAAGUAAACUUUAAGCUGCCUACGUACCCUUUUUAUAACAUAUGGAUCAAGUCAUAACGUAGUUCAAUUAAGUUGUUUUUUUUUUUUUUCAUUCACCUUUUAAGCUAUUGUGGACUAGGAGCAUCAUGCAGUUUAGGCUCUUGUGAUAAGGAGCUUUACACAUUUAAUAAAUAUUUUCAUAAAAAAUUUGUUCACCUCAUUCAUUUGUGGAAUUGGUGAAUAUAAUAAGUCUUGGCUUCACGAUCAAGGAACCUUUUGUAUUAAUGUCAACAGACAACCUCCUCUUCAUGCGUGAUGGGACACGACUGUGAAUCUUCUCGUUAUUAUUUUCUUCAUAAUGUAAUUUUACCUUCAAAGUUUUCAUCUCUUUUUCAUGUUGAUCGUUUGUCAUUUUUAGUCGAUCAAAAACAGAUGUUGAAGGUUGAUCUUUCUUUGAUGUAGAGAUACUUAGCAUUUUGAAAGCUGAAAUUCGAGUGAAAGUAGACAUUGGACAUUGAUUUUCUUCUUUUGUGGACAUACUCAAUCUUUGAAAGACUGAAGAUCGAGUAGUUGAAGACUUGAUACGAUCAAAGAGAGAAGUCCUUUGCUUAAUUUCAUUUGAAUUGUUGACUUCUUCAGAAGAUGUAUAACUGUUGUCGACUUUUUUUAUAUUGACAACAUGACAUGCAGUGACUUCUAAUACUUCCUUGGGAUGAUCAUCAAGGAAGCUUCUUGGGAGGAAUUCACUCAAAGUUAUCGACCGUUGAGGUCGGAAGAAGUCCUCGUCUUUUCCUUUGACAGGCUUAGGCUUCCACAUCUUCUUGUUUCUUUUUCCCUUCUUUUUAUGGGAGAUGCAUCCUUUUGCAUGCUUUUGACGGAAUGACGACUCCUUUUGAAUGGAAUUUGAUGGUCUUCCUUUUCGACGAGUCACAAUUAUCCAUCCUUUGUCAUCAUAUUCAACAAGCUCUUCUUUGUUUUGGAAGUUUGUCGUCACGAUUCUUUGUUGGAAUUGGACAACUGUAGGUUGAAAAGUCCCAAAUUGAAUUAAGUUUUUCCUUUGAUCAUAAAGUUGUGUUGAUGGUGGAACACUUGAAGUAAUAUUGACCGCAACAUGAUUCGUCUCAACUAAUUCAUCAAUGUCCAGCUCGAUUUUCUUUUCACGAGCCAACUUUAGAAUCAGCUCCUUCAACACAAAACACUUUUCAACAGGAUGACUAAUGACCCGAGCAUCUGCUCUAACAUGUCUGCAACAUCAGAGUCAGAAAAUGGAUAAACUUUUUCAUGUCUUUCUUUAAGAGUUGGACGUCGCUUUUCCUCGCUAUCAUGCUUUCCUUCAAUUUUUAUUUCUUUUCUUUUAGAGAAAUUUUUCAAAGGGGUUGUAUGAACAACCAUAGACUCAUUUAUGACACUAUUUGCAAUCAUUUUAUGUCAUCAAUUUCAUUCUUGUCACUCAUCAUUUUUUGAACCAAGAAAUUUUUUACUCCUCCGUGUGUGAUACUUAGUUCCAUAUCAUAUGCACGAGUCACCAACUCUUCAAACGUGCGUGGUUUUAUCCCUUGCAAAAUAUAAAGAAGUUCCCAAUGCAUGUCUUGGGUGCACAUCUCAACUGCAAACAUUUUUGUGAGCCUGUCUUUGCAAUCUAGGCUUAGAGCUCUCCAUCGAUUUUUGUAGUCGAUGACUGGCUCCCCCUUCCACUGUUUGGUGUUUGUCAACUCCAUCAUGCUGACGAUACGUCGGGUGCUGUAGAAGCGAUUUAGAAAGUUUUCCUCAAGCUGCUUCCAACUGUCAAUGGAUUCAUGUUCUAGGUCGAUGUACCAGUUGAAGGCAUUUCCUUUUAGAGUUCGAACGAACUGUUUUACCAAUAAAUCUCCUCUCGUGCUAGCAGUUUAACAUGUUUCAAUAAAGUGAGCAACAUGUUGCCUUGGGUUACCCUUUCCAUCAAACUGUUGGAACUUGAGUGGUUGGUAUCCAUUCGACAUUAUGAGAUUGUCGAUCCUCUUCGUAUAUGGUUUGAAAUACAGAGAGAGUUUGAGCAGGUCCACCAUAUUGAGUUUUGAUGGAGUUUGGAAUCACCUCUUGCAACUGUUGAAUAGACAACGAUGCGAUUGAGGUCUAAUUUUGUGGUUGACUUUCUUGGAUAAGCCUUCCCUUUGUGAUGUAAUUACAUAAUUAAGGUGUUAGUUACAAUUAGGUAUUAGUUGUUAUUCUUGUUAUAUUCUGUUUUCUUUAACUAAUCAGUUGAAAUAACUGAUUAGUUGCACCCAAUCAUCUGAUUGUAAACUACCAUUCACAUCUAUAAAUAACCAUUCUCCAAUUGAGAAUGGAAGAUUUGAUUCUUGGAUAAAAAAGACCCAAAUACAACUUUGAAUUACACCAAAGUGGUAUCAGAGUAGGCCCAAUUCUUGGACGGAUGGCUAGUCGGAGAGGAAAUAACCCAACCACGGGGGACGACAGUGCGUAAGAAGAGAUGGAGAACAUUGCCGCCUUCUCACCAAGGACAUCAACGGCUCAUUUGCGGGCCAUCGAAGACUCCUUGGGAGAUUUACACCGAAAGAUAGACAGAGUUAUGGAUAACUUCGAACUACUAGCACAAAGGAUUGAUGAAUUACCGGUGCCACCAUGAUUCGAAGCAAACGUAGCAGACAAUGGCGAAAUCAACGACAGACGAAGACGACGUGGAUGAGGAAACUUCAGAAACCUCCACAACCCGCGAUAUGCUAACGAAGGAACGCCCGAUUACAACCCACCUCCACAAUUUUACAUCGACGAGCAUGAAGAACAAGAAGCAUUACACGAAGAUGAAACCUCGAGUGACAACGACCAGAACAACCCCUGGAACUUCGGGGACGAAACAAAGAGAGGGCUAAAUGACAGAAGGUUCGGCGUGCAAGGAGAGACCCACCAUGACUUCAAGAUGAAGGUUGACUUACCUUCAUACAGCGACAAAAGAGCUAUCGAAUCCUUCUUGGAUUGGAUAAAGAGUACUGAGAAUUUUUUCAGUUACAUGGACACCCCCGAACAGAAAAAGGUACGCCUUGUGGCCUUGAAACUCAAAGGUGGCACAUCAGCAUGGUGGGAGCAACUGAAAGUCAACAGGCAAAGAUGCAACAAACAACCCGUACGCUAGUAAGAAAAGAUGAAGAAGUUGUUCAAAGAAUGAUUUUUGCCUCCGAAUUACGAGCAGACCUUAUACAGCUAGUACCAGAAUUGUCGGCAAGGCACCCAAACGGUCAUUGAAUACAUCGAAGAGUUCCACCGAUUAAGUGCCAGAACAAACCUAAGUGAGAACGAGCAGCACCCAAUAGCCAGAUUCGUGGAAGGCCUACACUUUGAUAUUAAAGAGAAGGUGAAGCUGAAACCUCUCCAUUUCUUACUCGAGGCAAUUUUGUUGGCAGAAACGGUAGAAGAGAUGAUUGUCCUCAAGUCCAAGACCAUGAAUCAAAAGACAACAUGGGAACCAACAUCAACAAAGAAGAUAAGUUAUACGAACAAAACUAAUGACCAGCCGACAUGUCAAUUCAAGGAAAAGGAAAGAAGGCAGACACCCAAGCCACAACCAACAAAAGGAAGGCAGAGAUAGCCAAUAAGGGCAAGAGCCAAAAUAACUACACUCGCCCAUUAUUGGGUAAGUGCUUCCGAUGUGGAGAAUCAGGCCACCUAUCUAACUCCUGCCCUCAAAGAAAGACAAUUGCCUUAGCAGAGGAGGAAGGCAAUUUACUAGGCGAAGACGAAUUAGAACCAGAAGAGGAAACAGAAGAAAUUAAGGCAAAUGAGAGAGACACAGUCUCCUAUGUUAUCCAUAAAGUACGCAUUGCCCCCAAGGAAGAGAAGAAUCCUCAACGCCACAACCUUUUCAAAGCAAGAUGCACCAUUAAUGGGAAAGUAUUCGAUGUUAUUAUAGAUGGUGUCAGCAGCGAGAAUUUUGUAGCAAAGAAAAUAGUCUCCAACUUGAACUUAAAGGUUGAGCCACACCCAAACCCCUACAAGAUAGGGUGGGUAAAGAAAGGGAAUGAGUCCACUCUCAAUAAGAUAUAUACGGUUCCCCUUUCUAUUGGAAGUGGGUACAAGAACCAAAUCAUAUGCGAUGUUAUCGACAUAGAUGUAUGCCACAUCCUCCUAGGCAAACUAGGACAGCACGAUACUCAAACCUUGCACAAGGGGAGAUAAAAUACAUAUGAAUUUCACUGGAUGGGUAAAAAGGUAGCCCUGCUCCCUUUGGCCAAGAAAUAUGAGGAGAAUGGUAAGACAAGAGGACAACUAUUCACAACAGUCAGUGGCAAGACCCUACUGAAGGAAAUUGAGCAAGAUAUAUUCGCAUUUGUGGUGAUGGACAAUCCUAAUGGAGGACAGCCUGAGGAGUUGGAACCUCAGUUACAACAACUUUUUGAGGAAUUUCCACACCUAAAGAAGGAACCUGAUGGCCUGCCACCACUUCGUGACAUCCAACACCAUAUAGAUCUAAUCCCAAAGCAUCAUUGCCAAACUUGGCUCAUUACAGAAUGACCCCUCAAGAGUAUUAAGUACUCCAUGAACACAUUGAAGAACUACUUAAGAAAGGGCAUAUUAAGCCCAGCCUUAGCCUGUGUGCCAUUCCAGCCCUUCUCACCCCAAAGAAGGAUGGGAGUGGGAGGAUGUGUGUGGAUAGUAAAGCAAUUAACUGUAUCACGGUGAAAUACAGAUUCCCUAUCCCAAGAGUUGGAGACCUCUUGGACCAACUUGGCAAAGCCACCAUCUUUUCGAAGAUUGACCCCUUCCUCAACAAAUUCAUUGUGGUUUAUUUCGACGAAUACUAGUGUACAACAGUGGAAAUGAUGAACACUUGCUCCGCCUUAGAAAGUUGUUCCAAGUAUUGACAGAAAAUGAGCUUUUCAUCAAUCAAAAGAAAUGUGAGUUCUUUAGGGAUGAAAUUACAUUUCUUGUAUUCAUAAUCAAGAGGGGAAAGAUAAGUAUGAAGCCAAGAAAGGUUGAAGCAAUACAGAAUUGGUCAGUUCCAACCACUAUCAAAGAGAUACAAGCCUUCCUAGGGUUGGCUUCCUUCUAUAAGAAAUUCAUGAGAAACUUCAGCUCCAUUUGUGCACCACUGACCGACUGCUUAAAGAGGGGAAACUUUAAAUGGACUCUAUCUCAGCAGAAGAAUUUUGUAGACAUAAAGAGAAGACUAGCCUCUAGCCCUGUUCUACAAUUACCAGACUUCUCUUCUCCUUUUGAGAUAGCAGUCGACGCCUGUGGAACGGGGAUUGGAGCAUCCUAUCUCAACGAGGCCACCCGAUCGAAUAUCUCAGUGAGAAGUUGAGUCCAACUCGACAAUCGAUGAGCACAUAUGAGGAAGAACUAUAUGCCUUAGUCCGAGCUCUCAAGUCGUGGGAACAUUACUUACUUUCCAAGGAGUUUGUUCUCUUAAUCGAUCAUUUCUCCUUAAAGUACCUUAAGUCUCAAACAAACAUCAGUCGAUCACACGUCCGUUGGAUCUCCUACUUACUGAUAGAACUAAGUCAUGCACAGCAGAAAAAGAAUCGAAUUUCUACCCUAAUUGCCACAAUUAACAUGUAACCAUAAACUAAUUAAAUUAGAGUUUUAAGAAAUAUUACCUUAGAAGCUUUCAAAAGGUUUGAUAUCUUCUUACCAAUUCUAACCGAGACCACCACUAGUACUCAACUACUAUCCUCUAGACAAAGAGCCGGGUUGUGGGACCCAAUUUUGGUGUAGAAAGUAAUGGAGAUAAAAUGGGAUUGGAAGGUUUUUUUUCUUUUGUUGAGAUGAUGAAAAUGAUAAAAGAGGCAAAAGUUCUUCAACAUUUGAAAACAGCUCUAUUGAUAACCUAAUUACAUGCAAAAAUGCAUGCAAUUCAUUUGUCAAAUCUCAACACCUAAUAUUCCACUAACAAUUAGUGGAACUUAGUGGGCUAGGUGUCUAUAUCUCAUAUAGCCACAUAUCCCACUAAGAGUUAGUGAGAUUAUCCAACAAAAUAUUGGAUUUUCCCACUAACUUAGUCCAAGGGUAAAAUGGUCAUUAGAUAUUUCAAGUCAAAAGUCAAACUUUGACUUUUCUUAGUCAAAAGUCAAUAUUUUGACUUUUUACCAUUUUGUCCGUCUUGACUAAUUCCAACCUCCCGAGCAUGAAUCCGCAUUCAUUUUUCCAAAAUUCAAAUCACAUUUGAAUAUAAGGUCGGUCAAAGUUUGACUUUUCAAAGUCAAAAGUCAACAUUUUGACUUUUUACUAUUUUUGACCAAUUCCAUCAAUUCCGAGCUUCUUAGUAUGAAUCCGCAUUCAUACUUAUAGUAUGUAAAACAUAAAGCUCUAUUUCUAAUUAGAAGACCGACGACUAUAUCACUAUAUUUGUCGGUUUCCCUUUCUUCUCCCAAUUCGAACAAUUCGACUUAUUUCAUCACACUGUUCUAAGUUUAAUCCAUAUGAGCUAGCAGAGGAACCUAAUGGACCUAUAGAUCAUGGGCUCCAACGAUUCAAGAUUAACUAGCUAAACUCUUUUAAACCGAGUUAAUCAACAUUCGUUAACUAACGGGUCAUUCCACUAAAGUCCCGUAGUUGCACUCCCCUCACUAUAGAUAUAUUUGUGUCCAUUUGAUAAAACCAUAAUCAGUAAGUUAAUCCUUCACAGGUUGCUCGUAACCUUGGCUGGGUCAAAAUACCGUUUUACCCCCAAGAUUACAUCUUGCUCCUUAAGUCCCACUAAUCCACUAUUGAACAAUUGGUUUAAGGUUCAACCUAUAAACUUAAUCCCACUCGGGCCAAUGAGAGGGUGGGGCCCCUUGUUCAAGACUUGAAUUCAGUGCUUAAGAGAACAACCUAUCUACUAACCUUAAAGCGGGUAGGAGUGAAUUCCAUCUUGUACCCUAUGUUCCCAGCUAUCCACCCGAUCUUACCCCUGAAAUGGGAGGCUUAUUGGGCCAACGCUGAUGAGCUGCCCUCACCUAUGCAUAUCUAAGGAUAAUCUCGUGUGAACAGGAGUUCAUAGUUAACUCAGGAUUAAGACUAAUUUACCUAGGUCAUCAAUAAUUGAGAUAAUCAGUUUUAAACAGUAAACGAUGUUAUAACGUAAAAAAGACUAAUUCAUGAUUCAGUCUUAUGUAAACAUUUUACAUAGGAUGCCCCCACUUUCAUGUCUCUACAUGAACGAUUAGGAUCACCUCGUUUGUACUACAAAGUGGGCCGACAUCCAUAGUUUCUCUAAAUAAGGCGCUCAACCUUUAUUUCAUAUACUAUAGACUAUUUAUGCUAUAUACUCGAACUUAUCCACGUUUACGUUUACACAUAAAGUUCAAGUUUAUUCAAAAAAUAGCCUUGGAACUUGAUUUAUUGGAUUUAAGAUUAUAAUAUUUAAUUUCUCAAUAACAACUUUAUUGAACAGAAUAUGAUUUACAAACUACGAGUUUUAGGACAAAAAAUUCCAACACUUACCGAGGUUCGAUUUUGUUAUUAAACAUCAAGUUGGAAAAGAGAAUAAGGUGGUUGAUGCCCAAAGCAGAAAAGGCUCCCUACUUACGCUCCUCUCCUUAGAGAUAAUUGCUUUUAAGCAUCUGCUGGAACUAUACGAAGAGGACAUUGACUUUGCAAACAUCUGGUAUAGAUGCUCUAAUUACUUAAGGGUUGAAGGUUAUCACAUUCUAGAAGGGUUUCUCUUCAAGGGAGACCAAUUAUGCAUACCACACACUUUCCUACGGGAAGCCUUAAUAAAAGAAGCCCACUCUAAUGGGCUAGCUGGUCAUUUUGGACAAGAUAAAACCUUUGAGACAGUUUCUAUACGGUACUACUGACCACAAUUAAGGAGAGACUCCAAUAACUUUGUGAAGAGGUGUUCCAUUUACCAAAGGGUUAAGGGCUCUCGAACUAAUGCAGGGUUAUAUACCCCAUUAUCGAUUCCACAAUCAAUUUGGGAAGAUCACUCAAUUGACUUUGUAGUCGAACUUCCUAAGACUCAAAGAAACCAUGAUUCAGUCAUGGUGGUUGUCGACCGGUUUAGCAAGAUGACUCACUUCGUUGCUUGCAAGAAAACGAAUGAUGCCAUCAUUAGUACAGAAGUGGUCUACGACGACAGUUAUUUACUGUCGUAAACGAAAUUCAAGACAGUUAUUUUCAGUCAUAGAAGCGGGAGUCAUUGAAAGUCCUUCGAUGACAGUUUUUAAAAACUAUCGCAAUAAGUUAUUUUAUGACAUGAAAUAAAUGUCGUUAAUCAGAAUUCAACGGCGUUAAAUAACUGUCAUAUUUUAUUUUAUGACAACAAAUAACUAUCAUCAUUUGUGUAUUAAGGACGGUUAAAUAAAUGUCGCGAAUUCAUUUAUUGUGACAUUUUUUAAUUGUAAUGAAUAUGUUAAUCGCGAUAGUUUUUUUGUAUAAAAAUAUCAUUGUUUUGCUAUUGACCACAUUUUUUUCCUGUCACAUAUAGGGCAAUCGUGACAAUUUAUUUUAUUAAACAACUGUCAUCGUUUUCGGAUUGACAACAAUUAAUAACUGUCACAAAUUCAUUUAUUACGUCAUUUAUUUUCUGUUGCAAAUUUCUCAAUUUACUACAGUUUUUUCCUGUUCUCCUUGCCGCUCCACCAUUACACGAACCAUUUGAAUGACAAUAAUGUAGCUAAGAAUGACAAUUUUGAAUUUAUAAUAUUGACACCCAUAUAGAAAAAAGUAGCCAACACUUUAAUAUAUACACGAUAUAAUACAAUUUAUAAUAUUCGUACAUUUCCAAUCAAGUGUCAACAAUUUACAAGUACGGAAUCCCAACCCUUAAUCAAAAAAUAUUUUAAAUAACAUUAGAAUACAUCUAACAAGAUUUUCUGCAGAAGCAUAAACGACCAACCAAAAAUGUUCGUCUCUGAAAAUGUUCUUUGAAAGAAAACUCAUGAAGUUGUCGACUCCGGUUGAACCUACAAAGACAACAUGAAUAUAAGCAUCCAUAACACAUACAUUUGUGAACCAACAUUACCACAACAAAGAAGAAAAUGGAGGACCACCAUGUAGUAAUGUGAAUGUAAAAGAAACAUUAUAUAUAUUAUGAAUCUUGUUUCUAAUCAAGAACUUAUUUCCUAACCAUGUACUUGAUGAGCGUUUGUAGAAUUUAAUAUCAGUAACCAAAAUCUAUAAACUAAUUCAAGAUAGAGCGAGCUUAUGUUGUAAAAGAACACCUUAGAAUAAAUAUAAUAGAGGAACGCAUGAAUUUCAGCACACAUGACAAAGUAAACUUUUUGAAGGUAAGAAUCCUAUAUAAAAUUCCCUAAACCUUGGAGUCGUCUCCCAAUUUCAUUUUUAAGUUUCCGAAACCAAAACAAUGCAGUUUAAAAUGUUUGAAGAGAAUUAUUGGUGACGUAAACGAAUAAAUAUAAAUGAUAUAAGCAUUUUUAGGGAUAUAAGCAUUUAAGAAUACCUCCAUCUUCGUUUUUUAUGAAGUUAAUCUUGCCACAACAACUGCAGCAGCCUCUUGAUCCAAACCCUUGCACCAAUUCCUGAAAUCAAUGCCUCAAAUAUUUAGCUUUUCCCCAACAUCGAGAUAGAGAAAGAGAACCAAACAGAGAAUUCAUCUGUUUGUAUUGGCUUCUCAUUAUUCAUGGAGACAAAAAGAGACAAAUACAGAGAGUUCAAGUGUGUGUGUAUGUGUGCAUAAAGCACUAGAUAGUUGAAAAAGCAAGAAGUGAGAUGAGAUCGAAGCUUCAAAUAUAAGAAUGCAAAGCACUCUCUCACCCCUGUUUCUUGCAAUAAAACUCUCAAAAUUAAAUAUAGUAACAAACAUCAGCUAUUCUUUGGUUAACUCUUAUCCGAUGAAAUUUAGUUUAUUAUCCCAUUGUAAAUACUAGCUCUGAGAAUCUGUACAUACUCUACUCUUAAGUUAAAACCUAUUACAUUGAAAAAUGUGAGACCGACCAAAGAAGAAGUUUCCUCCUCCCUAGACUUACUGCACUGUUGUCCAUGGUAAGAAAUGUACUUCAAAAAGAAAAUGUCCAAGGUAUGCAAAUUUCAUCAAUGAAAAGUUCACAAUGUUUAAAGUAGAGCAAAAUAACCAUUUGUAGUCCUUAAAGUUGGGUCGUUCCUAGUCCUUACAACAAAAACGCUACGACAAUACAUGUAUGACAAUUUGUAGUCCUUAAAGUUGAACAGUUUGAUAUAUCCUUGAGGGACAAAAGAAACGUAAUUAGAAAAACUUAAUAAGAAUGAGAAUAAAUACAAGUAAGGAGGGUGGUAUUGUCCCAAAUUUUCACAACUCUUCUCAAACCUUCAAAAUUCUAUGGAAACUCAUCAAUAAACAAUAGAGCUUUAGGUAAACUUUUGAAAUUGGAAACUUACCAUGGCUCUAUUCGGUGCAAGUCCACAUACUUUACUCUUUUUUACCUUUGAGUUAAACAAACAAUAGAGCUUUAGGUAGACUUUUGAAAUUGGAAACUCAUCAACCUAACCAUAUAAAGAUCAAAUUUGCUUUAACAAAACGAACGUUGAAGUCCUUCCAACCCGAUUAAAAAAAAAAAACAGAUAAGUCUAACACUUUAACAAAUUUCUAGUGCAUAUUAUACAUCUCAAUUGAUCACAACAAAAUAAGAUUGAACAUAAAUACCCAUAAGUAAUACCUUUUCAAUAUUGCAUUUUCAUAAAACUUACAAGGGUGUAAACAAAAGGACAUGGUGUCUUCAUGAGAAUAAACUAGAGUAACAGUGCCUCAUGUAAAAUUGUAUCAAAACCUCACAUACCAGACAAAUAUAUCCUUGAUAGAAAUAGAAAUUAGAAACUAAAAAAUGUUGUUUAAAUCCAAGUUAUAAAUGAAAACUAAUGAAAUCCACAACCAAUAACAAUAUAAAAAGGCUUAACUAGAUACAAAUAAGUUCUGUCUGUAGUCUAACUCUAAAACAACAAAUACUCAUCAUUACCUCUAAAUAUCCCUGCAGCUGGUACAACAUUCAAAAAUGUUUCAAUAGCUCCCAACACAUAACUGAACCACUAAAUUGAGGAGAAGGCAGAAGUUAAGAUACACAGAAGUAGUGCACAUUUUGACUUAAAAAAGAUAAAACACAACAAAAACGUUGCUGGACAAUGAAAGAAUGAUAAGACAAAAACUUGUUUGUUAGAAUUUAUAUGUUCGCCUUUGUAAAAACUUGUUAAUUCAACCAUUUCUUCUUGAAGGUGAAGACAAUACUAACGAAAUGAUGAUGAACCUAACCUAAAUUAAAUGCCCCAAACUAAAAACGAUAUGGUUAUAAUGGGGGCUAAUUCUGAAUCUUUUCAAAUCCCUUCCCUUCACUCUUCUUUACUAAUACAAUGUGGGAUAAACAAACCAUUGUGUUUUUUUUUUUUUUUUUUGUGACUCUCAUAAAAUCCAUAGAUAUUCACAACAAACCAAUUUCAACAAACCCUAAAGAGAACUAUGUACAUAAAAGAUAUGUCUCUAGAAACAAAAGCUAAUGAGAAACUACUGUUCAACUUACUUUUCAUGGUUUAUAAACUUUCAGAAAGAUUAAAAAAAUAUAACAAGAUAUAUAUACACACACCUUAUCUAGGACAUUAUGUAAUGGGACAAUGAAGAAUAAGUUCAAUGAACUUUAAUGUACUCCAAUCUACCAUAAACUUGAGUUCACUCAAAACCUUUAAGAAAAUGGACAAAUAGAAAUAUAAUCAAGCAAACAUAAUCAUUUUGUUAGGAACAUGCAAGAUAAACUAUUUCACACCAACAUAUAUAAUCAGUAUACAAAUGAAAUCUUUGAGUUUCACAAGCUAAUCUCAAUUUAAACUUUGAACUAACAAGUCCAAACAAUUUUCAUUGUAAUUCAAUAGUUAAAAACGUACCUUGGAGCCUUUCCAACCCUAUCAAAAAAACAUAUAAGUCUAGCACUUUAACAAAUUUCUAGUGCAUAUUAUGCAUCUCAAUUGAUCACAACAAAAUAAGAUUGAACAUAAAUACUCAUAAGUAAUACCUUUUCAAUGUUGCAUUUUCAUAAAAAUUCAACAAGCAUUGUCACUCUCUCGAGGAUUCUUCAAGCCCUAAGUAUGAAAAAAUGUUCAAUGAUUAAAUCGUACUCUAUUUACAUGACAAUUUGACAAAGUUGAGUUGAUAACUCUCAUAAAGCCCUUAAUCCCCCCCCCCCCCCCCCUCCCCCCUCCCCCCAAUUUCCAACACUAUUGUUGGAAAGGAACAACAAGAUCUUUCAAAGUAAGGAAAGAACUACUAUGAAGAUUUUAGAUGAUAUUAAUUCAAGCAAACGUUUAUAUACUACUAGUAUACCAUACUAAUUCGACUAAAACACUUUCAACGAGACUAGAAUUAUACAAAAUAUACUUUAAACCACAAUAGUUGAAUAUCUAUUUUGGUAGGGAGGUAGACACUACUUACUUGAACAAAUAACGACAACGUCCUUGAAGUAAGAGAACUUUCCGCUAAUCCUCAAUUCAAUCAAUUAUUCAAAAUGUCAUAAGGUAGUCAUAGGAAGAAAAUAUAGUUUAAAAACGUUGAUAAAAAGUAGAGGUAAAAAAAGUGUAAGUUUCAAAAACUUAAAGCCAAAAACCAAAUAGAUAACAUACAAAAAUUCUCUUGGAAAGUGUAUAGGCUUAAGUUUCAACAUACACAUUCAUACCUUUCCAAUGUGUAUAACAUACAUCGUGGUUUAUGUUUCAAGCAGAGGGUGUAUUUCGACAUUUUCUAAUUUAUUCCUCUUGGAAAGAUCUAGCAUGGUAAGUGGCAAAUAAAAUUCUACCAUACAAAAUAAAUCUUAAUUCACCAUCAUUUUUUUGUCUUUCCUUUCAAUAUAGAACAUGUAGUAAUUUUUGUUGCUACUAUCCUUAUUGUAAGAAAGGGAGAGAGAACAUACCUAUAAUUAUCAAUAAUCACUUUCCUCUAUCCUUCAAUCAAAGCAACUCAAUAGCAACCAUAAACAAAAUAUCAAUAGAAAAAUCAAAAGUACUAAAAUUCACUUGGAAAAUGCAUAGACAAACAAAAAGACCCUACACACCAUCAAAGUUUAAAAUCUCACAUUUCAUUUUUCAUUCUCUUUUUCUCAAAGCUUCAGCCCAUAGCCAUGACAUCUCCCUUGGCCUUGAUUUCCUAAUUCGAACAAAAAAAAUCAAUCAAAAAUCAUCCAAAUGCUUCAUUGAGGCAUUUCAUCAAACACAUUGUAAGCUACCAAAAUGUUUCAUCACAUAGCCAACCAUAAAGAAAAAAUGUAGAUUCAAAUUAGAAAAAUGAUUGUAAACAACAAUAUUGAAUAGGAUGGUAGACAAAACAAACACAUAUCUCAUAUAAAAGCAAAACUAUGAGGGAUGUUUUUCAUAAAAAGAACCAUCAAUAUAUUACAUUGUGGGUAAAAUGAAAGCAUUUGAAGUUAAUAUACUGUAUAAAUACAAACAAUAGAAAUAAUGGUUGAGAUUCACCAGUGAGUUCAGCGGUGCAAGGGGUGUUGGGUGGUUGCGUCGGCUGAAGGAGAGAAAGAGAGGGAUUUCCCGCGUUGUUGACCAAAAGUCUAGUCUUUUCCGGCGUGCGUGAGAGAGGGAGAGAGAUGGUUAGCGGAAGGGAGGAAAAAUCGAAGAGGGGCGACGUGUGGAUCUUCCACAGAGAAGAAGAAGAAGAGGAGGAGGUAGAGAAAGAGUUUUGGAGAUGUUUUAUUUUAAUAAUAAAUUAUUUAAUGUUUUUAGAAUUAGGAAAAAAUCUGAUUUUAAUAAAUUUUUUUAUUUAAAAUAAAUUUUAUUUUAAUAAAUUAAAUAAAAUAUUUUUUGUAUCUUUUAUGACACCAAAUAACUGUCGCGGAAAGUAAAAUCCAAAAAAUUCCGUCUUUUCCCGCCAAAAACGCGGUUUUUUAGCUUUUGUGACAAUUUUUUCUUUUCUCCUUUCAAUUUAGGAUGUAUACAACUGUCAUAGUAGACCACUUUUCUACUAGUGCAUAUAUGUAGCUAACCUUUUUUUCAAAGAAGUCAUCGGAUUACAUGGAAUACCUAAGACAAUAGUCUCUAACAGGGAUGUCAAAUUCCUAAGUCAUUUCUGGAAGACCCUGUGGAAGAAGUUUGAUACAACACUGAAAUAUAGCACCACAGCUCAUCCCCAUACCGAUGGGUAGACUAAAGUAACCAACAGGACACUAGGCAAUUUGAUACGCUGUCUUAGUGGCUCUAAACCUAAACAAUGGGAUUUGUCCCUCGCACAAGCAGAGUUUGCCUUCAAUAACAUGAAGAACCAGUCGACUGAUAAAUGUCCAUUUGAGGUCGUAUACACUAAACGACCUAGGUUAACAUUUGACCUUGCAUCACUCCCUGCUACCGUAGAAAUUCACAAAGAAGCAUAAACAAUGGCAGAAAGUAUUGAAAAGCUGCAUAACGAAGUUCAUGACCACCUCAUUCAAUCAACUGAUUCUUAUAAGAAAGCAACAGACAAUAAGAGAAGACAAGUUAUUUUUUCUAAAGGGGAUUUAGUAAUAGUAUACCUAAGGAAGAACAUAUUUCCCGCUGGAACAUAUAACAAGUUGAAGGAUAAACAAAUCGGCCCAUUUCGCAUUCUGGAAAAAUAUGGAGAUAAUGCUUUUAAGGUCAAAUUCCCUCCAAAUAUGAUAUCCACUAAGUAUUCAAUAUUGCAGAUUUGAAGCCCUAUUAUGCUCCAUACGAUUUCCACAUUGCCGACUAGUGUACUCGUGGUCGAGUCCAAUCUGAGGGAGGAUGGAAUGAUGUAAUUACACAAUUAAGGUGUUAGUUACAGUUAGGUAUUAGUUUUUAUUCCUGUUAUAUUCUGUUUUCUUUAACUAAUCAGUUGAAAUAACUGAUUAGUUACACCCAAUCAACUGAUUGUAAACUACCAUUCACAUCUAUAAAUAAUCAUUCUCCAAUUGAGAAUGGAAGAUUUGAUUCUUGGAUAAAAAAGACCCAAAUACAACUUUGAAUUACACCACUUUGUCAAUAUUUUUUAUAGUAUGUGUAUGACUUGAUCCAGCAGGAUCACGACGUUCGAUGUGAUUCUUGAGAAAUGCAAUCUCAUUAUCCUUUUCUUCAAUGGCCUUCAGGAGCAUGUUGAUCUUCUUUUCAGGCUCAAACAUUCUGUCUUCACUUGUAUCCAUGCCAGUCACCAUAACCGACAUGAUAUUUGGAUGAGGCAUCUCCUCAUUCGAGCGUUCACAUGAGGAAAUUUGUUCGUCAAUCAAAUUAUUUUCUUUGAUUAUAAUUUCACCUUUUGGUGGCUUGGCAGUUGCUCCCAAAUAUUCUUUGUUACCUCAAAUGAUGGCAUUUACUCAGAUGAUUGAGUCUCCCUUGAGCGGCUGCGAGUAUUUGACUGUUUGCCGACGUCGCCUGAAGCUUUGUAAGUGUUGCCUUGGGAUGUCAUGAUUUUUUUAGAUGUUCUUCAAAAGAGAAAGAGAUGUAAGGUAGAGAUUGUCCCACCAGACGUGUCAAACUAUUCACACGAGACUUCGAAGAAAUGUAUUUCGUGGAAUUGAACUUUGAUAUAUUGAUGAAUAUUGCAAAUACAAUCUCUAGUAUUUACUCUUUUGAUGCUUUCUCUCGAAUACAAGUUAAAACUUAGAACUUCUUGAUCUUCGAUCUUUAGGAUGUUGUUGUUGCAAGUCGAUUUGAACUUCAAUCUUCUGGAAUUCAAGAACAGUUUGAUCUUCCAAGUCUUCAAUCUUUCAGAAGUUGUUGAUCUCGAGGUUGAUACGAACUUGCACAUCUUGAGAGCUUGUAGAAGUUUGAAUCUUCAAUUCUUUAGAGUUUCAGUACUUUAGAGCUUCAAUUCUUCCUCAACCAAAGACCCUUCUUUAAAAUGAAUGACAAUGGUCUCUAUUUAUAGAGAAAUUUCAUGGGCUUUAGGUGAGUUUGGGCUCAUUUGUUUGUUGGGCUUGAACUUGAGCCUAUUUGCAAGUUGGGUUUGGACUUGGGCCCACCUGCUUUUUGGACUUAGGCUUGAGCCCAUUUGUUUGUUGGACCUGACUUCAUGUGGCGUAAUUUAAUUGGUCAAAAUUUAUUGUUCAACAAUUUCCAACAUUUAAAUUUUUAUAAUAUUUUCCUUUCUCUAUAAUAUUAUUGAACUUUUUGAUCAAGUCAUUUUAUAGACUAAUUUAAACUUUUGCUGCUUGAAAAAGAAAACAUAUUACGUAUUGUAUAUCUAGUAGAUUGUUGUAUAAAUAUAUUUUUAAGAAAUAAAUGUGAGGAUGAGACAAUAUGAACAGAAAAUAAGUAGUUAAUAUUCAUUUUAUCUGCUUUAUUUUGAUAAAUAGUAAAUCAUUUAAAUUUUUAUGUGCAACAAAAAAAGGUUUCAUUGAGUAUGUGAGUGGUGGGUGGUGGGUGGUGGGUUUUUUCUUUUUUCUAAUUAUCAAUGCAUAAAAAAAAACUUAAUUAAUAAGAAAAUUUUAGGUCCAAAAAUAAAUGAUAAUAUUAAAGUUUAAGAUUUGUACAAAUGAGUAAAAUAGUUAUAAAAAAAAAAGAUAUCUCCUCUUAGAAUUUUGAAGAUAAAAUAGUGUUUUUUUUAUAGAAAUAGGUAAAUAUAAUCUUGUAGAAUAAAUUAAAAUAUAAAAUUAAAAAAUUCAAGGCUGUGUUGGAAUUGACUUCAUAAUUGACAAUAGAUUGUAUAUUAUUUUCUUACUCUUUUCUAUACAAAAACCAAUGGUUAUAAUUCUGUACUUCAAAUUAAAAAAAUAACUAAAAGAAUGAUCAAACUCGAUUUCACGAAAUUGACUUUGUAUCAUUUUUUUUUCUAACCUACAUGCAUAUAUUUGAGUCUUCCCUAACAUUCCAAAUUACUACUACAACAUAAAAGAAAGGUCAGAAUGAUGUUAAAUUUAAACAAUCAUAGAAAUUCUAAGGCUAAGAGUGAAGAAGAAGAAAACUAAAGAAAUCCCAAGUAGAAGCAAAUAUUCAAAUGUUUGCCAGAAAAAUUGUUGAAGAGAGUUCUUUAUAUUGAUGACAAAAAUAUAAGUUACGAAACCUUUUAAACUUAUAUGAAUUAUUCGAUAAAUUUAAUCAUUAAAUAAAGAGAUAGAUUUUUCCAUGUUUUAACUUUUUUAUCUCUUAAAAUUUUUAUAGGUUAAAAGAAGGUUGUGAGAAUAUAAUUAAAAGAUAAUAAAUUAUUAAUAUUUUUAUUUUAUUUUUAAUAGUAAUAGUAAUUAAAUCAUUUUAACUAAGUAAUGUUUUUUAUAUUAUUUUUAAUAAUUAAAUCAUUUUAAUCUUAAUAUGUCAUAAGUAAGCAAAAAAAUAAACACAAUUAAAAUUAGAAAAUAUCAUUUAAACAAAAUAGUUAAAAAAUGAUUCUCCAUAAUAGGUAAUAAGAUAAAAUAAAUUACAAAAGUAAUAUUGUUCGCACGAGAUUUCCGGAGAAAUUUAAUUCGUGGACUUGAACUUGGAGUUGAUGUUGUAUUUUUGUUGAUUUGAUGCGAUGCGGUUCAAUCUCUAGAAUUUGAUCCUCUGAUUCUCUCUCAACUGGAUGCUUCAGCUUGAUUUGGAGGAAGCGAAGCACGUGAUGUUCUUGAAGUUGGAGCCUUGAUGUUCUUGAAGUUGGAGCCUUGGAAGAAAGCUUGUAUAGCUUGUAUCUUUAAAGAAGCUUCAAUCUUCGAGGAUGGUCGACUUUAGGAGUUAGGGAGUCUUCUAGCUCUUGGAAGAAUUCUCUCUGGAUCUUCUAGAGUCAAAAUUUUCCAACCCCUACAAAUGGGCUUUAUGGGUUUGAACCUGGUUGGUCCAUGGACCAGACCCAUGGGCUCAACCAUAUGGACUUAGGUUAUAUUUAGUUUUUGGGCUCAAUUAAGCUUAUUUUUUUGGCUUAAUUGAACUUAGUCCAAGUAAAUAAUAUUUAAUUGAACUAAAAUGAUUAACUUAAUCCAACGAUUAAUAUGAAAACAUGUGGCAUUAUUAGAAUGACCAAUUUAUUUAUUUUAACUCUUUAAUUUGGAGCAUAUGUCAAUUUUAAUUAGUCCCAAAUUUAAUUAUUUGUACUUUUCAUCAUUAACUUAAUAAAUGAUGUGGCAACUUGUGAUUGGUCUCAAAAUUUCUUAUUCAACAAAUGCCCCCUUUUCGAGAUUUAUGCACGUAUAUGGGUGAAUGAAUCUCGGAAAAGAUAAAUUUGAAGUCAAAGUACGAGUUUUUUUUUUUUUACUCAAUUCAACGUAUCAAAUUAAUCAAACUAUGAAUUUAGUACGUGAGUUUGAUUUAAAUUUAAAAUAAGGGUUGGAAUAUGGCCAAACCUUAAAAAAAUUCAAAGUUUUAUUUCCCACUUAAUUUUAUUUGAGAGAAAAAAAAUUUAAUAUGAUGAUUUUUUUUUUUAAGUAAAAUUUGGAAUAUAACCAAAAUUUUAAUUUUGAAAUAAGGAUAAGGUUUCUACCGUACCUUAAUUUAUCUUGGGGAUGCAUAAGAAUUUGGAAUGACCAAUUUUAAUUUGAGAUAAAAAAUCAGGUCCUCAAUCGUAGGUAAAGUUGGAUUUAUGGCUCCGAUUUAAAUUCAUGAUAAAAAGGAGGUCAGAUAUGCAAGUUAAUUUAACUUGAAUUUUGAAAUUGAGAAUAUUUAUCUAUAUAUAUAUAUAUAUAUAUAUAUAUUUUAAAAAAUGUUGAAAUUUUUAAAUAUUUUAAAUAUCUCAAUAAAAGUUAAACUUGAGAUUUAUCCAAAAAAAAUAAUAAUUUAAAAUAAAAUAAGAUAAUUGGAUUAUCUUUUCUUUAUAUAUAUAUAUUUUUAAAAAUCAUUCAUAUUCCUUUUAGGAAUUGGAUUUGUUUAAAAAAAAAUAAUUAAAUAUCAUUCCUAAUCCUUUUAGGAAUUGGAUUUGUUGGACUUAUAAAUAGACUCAUACCCCACUCACUUAUACCUCAUCCAACGUUUAUUCCUCAUCCAAUCAGCAGAAAGGUAUAGAAAACUUUUCUUCUCCCUUUCUCUUUUUUUCUCUUUUUUUUGUGUGUGUGUGUUUUUUUUUUUUUUUUUUUAUUCUGUUUUGUUUUGUUGUUUUUUUUUUUUUUUUUGUUUUUUUUUUGCAGGAAUGACUUUGUCGAGCUUCUUCUAGAGACGAUCGGGCUUCUGCCGUCAGAUCUACCGCCCUAGUAGGAGAGAUCGGACUUUGUCAUCGUCAGACUUCAAUCUUCGUUUGCAGAAAUGACUUUGUUGAGCUUCUUGUAGGGACGAUCGAGCUAUUGCCGUCAGAUCUAUCGCCCUAGUAGGAGAGAUCGACUCUGUCAUCGUCGGGCUUCGAUUUUCGUUUGCAGAAAUGACUUUGUUGAGCUUCUUCUAGGGACGAUUGGGCUUUUGCCGUCAGAUCUAUCGCCUUAGUAGGAGAGAUCGACUCUGUCAUCGUUGGGCUUCAAUCUUCGUUUGCAGAAAUGACUUUGUUGAGCUUCUUCUAGGGACGAUUGGGCUUUUGCCGUCAGAUCUAUCGCCUUAGUAGGAGAGAUCGACUCUGUCAUCGUUGGGCUUCAAUCUUCGUUUGCAGAAAUGACUUUGAUGAGCUUCUUCUAGGGACGAUCGGGCUUUUGCCGUCAGAUCUAUCGCCCUAGUAGGAGAGGUUAGGGAACAUUUCCAACUGAACCCAUAUUUUUGGGUCAACUGGGUUGAUCACAAUCCAAAUAACCCAAAUUAUAUUCUCAACACAACCCAACUCAAUCCUUAAAAUAUGGGUUGAGUUGGGUUGGGUUGUAUUUUCUUUUUCAUUCUUAAUGUUUGUAAAAUUUAAAAUUGUUGUACAUGGUAUAUCGAUAAAUACACGCUUCCAAAAAUUGAAACAUCCAUAAAUUCAAAGUUUCAAACAUAAUCCAUAAAUAUUAAAUAAAUAAUAAAAUAAAAAAUAUAAAAAAUUAUUAAUUUUGGUUGGGUUGGAUUGGGUUGAACCAAAUUUCAACCCCAACCUGAGACCCAACCUAACCCAUAAAAUACCAAAAUUUUCAACUCAACCCAACUCAACUUACAUUUUAAACUAACCUAACUCAACCGAUAUAAUAUGGGUUGGAUAGUCCGGGUUGUCGAUUUAUUUGAGUUAUUCUUACACCUCUACUUCCUACUUCCUACUUCCUUUUGUCGCACUCCCCACCCCAUCUCACAUUUUUCCUCUUUUCUUCCUUCCUCGUUUUCUUUUACUAUUGACAUUUUUUUAAGUACUAAACAACGCGUCCGAUACACGUAAAAAUCACACACGAAAAAAUUAUAGUUAUUAUUUAACUUUAUAUAUUUGGAACAACCAUUUUAACAUUUUCAUAUUUAUAUUUUUUUUCAUAUUCGUUGAGUGAAAAAUGAAUAGUAAAUUUAGAAAAUAUCAUAUUAUACUAUUUCAAAUUUUAUUUUUUUAUUUUAAUUACAAUUUUAGAUAAAAGAGUAUUUUUUUUUAAUGUGAAUGUGAAAUUGAAUAUUUCAACCAUAUAGACAUGCACCAUUACUGUAAAAUGGAGUAUUUUUAAAAAUAAUACAUAUAUAUUUUUAAAUAAUGACGAAAAAGGGGUAGUAUGAAAAGAAAUUUUAGAAGUUGGGUAUAACUCCAAACUAUUGUAAAAAUAGGAUAGUUUUGGGUUUUCGAAGGAAAUCGUGAACUGGGUACACGAUUUCUAUUAAUCCACGUCACUCAUACUUUGACCAGUUUAACCCACGUAAAGGAAUUCGAGUACUAGAUACAAAACUUCCUUAAAAAAUUACUCAUGAAAAAUUUGAAUAUCAAACAAUUGCAAUAAGGAAUUAAAUGUUAAUAAAAAAAAAACAAUCAAAUUAAAAUUGGAUGUGAUCUCAAUUUGAUAAGAUAACAUAUUUUUAGGAUUAAAAAUUGGAAUAUAUAUAAAGGAAAAAAAUAAAAAAAAUUGUUAAUAAGAAAAUAAUCAAAUUGAAAUUGAAAAUAUGAAUUUAAUAAGAAAAUUGAGGGUUAUUUUAAAAAAUAAUGUGUUUUCUAUAAAAAUAGGGUUGUUUAAUAAGAUAAGAAUAAGGUAGUUUGACAAACUAUUGUAAAAAAUAGGUGAAUUUUUUAAAUUUGACGAAGUCGUGUAUCCCGUACACGACUUUCACAUUGUACAUGUCAACACAUUUGACCAGCUUGCUCCACGUAUGGACCAGUUUGACCCACGUGGAGUCCACGUGGUGACUCGAUGACCAAAGUUGUGUACCGGGUACACGACUUCCUAAAAAAAUUUAAAAAAUUAUUAGAUUUUAAAAAACUAACUAUUUUUAAAAUAACAACAUUUGUGAAAGACUAAUGAAAAUAAAAGAUGUGAAGAUUUUAGUUUUUGUAAUGUCCAAGGUAAGUGAUUAUUAAUUAUAAAAAAAAAAUUGAUUAUUAAUUUUUUUUUUUUUGGUUUUCAAAAUUUGGCAUGGUAAGUGUUAAAACAAAAAACCAAAGGUAAAACACAUCAUUAGAUGAUAUUUUGAGUGAAUUGAUAAGACAAAAACAUAAAUAAUUGUUUUCAACAUUCUCAUUGGAUCAUUUUCAAAUCCUAAUUCACUCAUCUAAAUGUAGCUAAAUUUUCAUUUUUUUCCCCUCUCUACUAAUAAUCAAGUAUCACAACUUCUCUAACAAAUUAGUGAUAUCUUAUAAGAAAUUUUGCUAAUUUAUUAACGAAAUCUUGUGACUUAAGAUAGAUCGAGAAAAAAUGUUUUGAACGUUUUUUUUUUAAUACUUGGUUCUCUAUUUUAAAAAUAAUAUUAUAUUUUGAUAUUAUUAAGAGUACUUCUACAUCUAAAUCACGUAUUAGCAACUUCUAAUUUAUAAUUAAUUUUAAAAAGUCCAAUUUUUAAUUUAUACAACUUAAAUAAGUUCUAGCAAAAUUUAAGAACACUUAAAUUAUACAACUAAGAAUUUUUCUCAUCUCCCUCUACGACAUCAUCGCCUCGUCGUCUUCGUCGUCAUCGAAUGCGUUUACGAUAUGUGUCACAACAUUUAAACGUCGAGUCCGCUGAACAAGUUGGUCUAUAUCUCCCAUGACUUUGUCACACAUUGGCCUAAAAAUUUCAAAAUUGUUUUCCAUCGAGACUCAACGUACGUCUUCAACGAAAUUAUUUUGAACGAUUAUAAAUAAUAUAAUUAAAAAAUGUUCAGGCUUGUAUUAAAUUUAUUACCAUACGAUAAUAGUAAGCGCCAUCAGGUGUCAUGAAGCGUCUGGUAAUCAACGUGUACUAGGAAAAGUAGUUAUCUAAUACUGUCGGCUCUUGUGUUACUUCUGCUUCGGCACAAAAAUUAUUUUGUGAAUGCCACAUUACUAUAUGCUCCGCAUGAAUCCUACCACAAUCUUGAUCGUGCUUGCCUCUUAAAUCAAUUUGGUGUAGGCCCUAAUCUAUGGAGCAAAACUCUGGUGGCAUUUGUAGCAUAUGGAACUGUCGCAAUACAUGAUCUGCUUGAUGCUUCUCAACGUGAUGAAAGCAAAUCAUAGGACCCACAUAUGUCCACAUCGCUUGACCGUUAUGACAUUGAGGUGGAAGCAAUGUCAUAAUGUGGGGGUAUGGUGUCCAAUUAAUCUGUUAAAAAAAACAAACAUAAGUAAGCAACAAAAAACAUACCUAGACAAUAUUGGUAUAAUAUUUUACUACUUGAGAGUUGAUUAGCCGAUCAAAAAACAUUUGGUAGGUGAUCAACAUAUUUGCUGACAGUUCUGACAAUGGUAUAGCACCGCUCCAUCUAAUGAGAGAAAGAAAUCAUUAAUAAGUUAUAAACCGUACAAAUUUUAUUAAAAAACAAUAUAUACAUAAAAAAAAUACCUGAAACUCAAAGGUCGACCAACUGACACCUCAAUUGGUACUUGUGAUGCCAGAAUAGGAAAUUUGUCAUACGCCCAUACUUGCAACAAUAUUAAUGGGCCAACAAUCUCUAAAGAUCAUGCAUUACUCGCUCGACACAAUUCCUUAUACAAUUAUGUGAGGCAUGCAGCGCCCCAAGCAUACGUACCAACCUGAUCAAAAUUAAUUAAAAGCGAAAGGAACAUACAGUAGACCAGGGUGUUUGAUUUGGCAAAUAGAAAGCCUCCAAUUAACUGCAUAUGUAUGCACAAGCGUAUCUCUAAACGCUCACUACAUCAGCAUCCAGUGGCAAUUCUGUGAAUUGUUCUGUCAACCAAGGAAGGUUCAACCGUUGACCUUUCAUUUCAGGUGGACGAACUCCCAAGUUGUAACAACCCAACUUUUUACCUAAGUCGAGGUCAUUAACUUUUGACAAAAGACCUUGGUUAAUUAAAAUUUAAAACCUCAAAAGAACAAAAUUUACUUUGUUUGUUUGGGCCCCAGUUUUAAAUUACUAAAAUUCACAUGAAAAUAUAAAACAAAAAAGUUUCAAAACUUUAAAUGCUUUAAAACCUCAAAAUUUCUAAACAGUCUCACGUUCGAAUACAAAGAAUACAAUAAAUCACUAAUCGGAAGCAAAAUUUUAAAGUGUCCCCUGUGGCGAUCACGCUUCCUUCCUGCCCCUCGCCAGUUUGCCGCCUUUAUUACCUUUGCCUGAAAAAUUAAACAUAUAGAGGGUGAGUAUAAAAAUACCCAGUAAGAGACCCUCUACUGGUCCCGUCAGGGGAAAAUAAAUUGUUAACAUUCUAUUGGGACACCCUGUACAGUCGCAGUCUUGUGAUCCCGUAGGAUGCACAUUUCAGUCUAACGUCUCGAGGGACAUACAUUUCAGUCUAGUGUUCUGCAGAAACACAUAUCAGUCUAAUGCCCCCGAAGGGUGCAGAAUAAUUGGUGAUCCCGUGGGACACCUACAAGGCACACGGUUCAGAAUAAUUGGUGAUCCCAAUAAAAGCUAACAAUUUUUCCCCUCAGUCCAUUCUAAACUUUUAAACAAUCAUUCACGGUUCAGUUAAAUAUUCUCAUUUCAUAAACUCUUCACUUGGUACCUAACAAUCAUCUUAUUGGAAUUUAACUCAAGGCCGGUCAGAAGCACGUCAAUACAUCAGUGAACAAUAAAACAAUCAUAACAUCCACUUUAGUCUACAAGGACACAAACACGACCUUUCCUCAAUUCACAGAAACACAAUCAUAACCAUAUAUCAUAUAUUCAGUCAAACGACAAUCUACCAGUUUCACCCUACAUUUAAUCAAGAAACAUCUAUAACUUUCAGUCAUUCAACAUCCAUAUGUGUAAAAAUACAUAUUCAGUCAGUCACAUCCAGUCAGUCACAGCAUGCACUCAAUACCAAGUCCACAUCAUUCCACACAUAAAUAUAUAUCUGUCUUUCCCAGUUAAACACAAUAUACACUAAAUUCCAAUUUAACCAUACAGUCCAACAUAACUCAAAAUUGUCGGUGAGUCCAGUAGAAAGUCCCUUACCUCAAAGUUAGGGAAGCUCCUUAAUCAAGUAACGUCCACGAAACAUAACAUGCUGUUGCUUUUGUAUGAAAUAUGAUUUAUUUUUCUUCACAUUUUUUCUAAUUUUUUAAUUAUGUCAUUAAACAUAACAUCUUGUAUUUUUGUUCCUUGCAACGAUAAAAACAAUUAUUCAAAUUAAAAUCAUAUAAUUGAAGAAAAAAAAUACUAAGGAUUGAAUGUUUAUUUUUCGCAAAACCAUCACUUUAAUUCUCCAUGAUUUGUUGAAAUGCUUCAACUCUCUAAUCAAACAGUAGUAUUCAAAUGAUAUUUUUUAAAUUAAUACACUUCUAAAUAUAUAAGAUUUUAAAUUAGGAUUUUCAAAAGAAAUGUUGUGAACUUUGUUUUUUGGUUAUUGCAUACAAAAGAAAUUGGAUUGUAGAGUUAAUUGAAAAGUCAACUUUACUUGCACAAUGAAUUUUAAUCAUUAAAUAUCAUUAGAAUCAAUCGAUAUGUUUCAAAAACCGAAAAUUAAAAAUAAUUAGGAAUCGAUAAUGUAUUUCAACCACGUUAUUUAAAUGCAAAUUGAUUUAAAAUUACUCUUAAAUAAAUUUCAUUCCACUAUGAAUUGAAGUAAUUAAUAUUCUAAAUAAUUUAAAAAUACAAUAUUGGUAUCAACUUCUUUUAUAUAUACUAUGUAUAUAUUUUAUAUAUCAAUAUUAUCUCACACAUUAAUCAACUUCCCUCUUUUUUUUGUUUGAUGCAAUUCAACUUUAUAUUAAGUAACAAAACUUUUGCUAAAAAAAAUUUAAAAUUGAAAGUCAUAGAUUGAUAAUAUUCUAAUAGAUUGAUGGGUUGAUAAUAUUCUAAUUUUCUCCAUUUUAAGUCUCUUCCAUUAAAUUCAUUCUGAUUUUUUCUUUUUUUUGCCAUAUUCCAAAUGUUUUUUUAUUGAAAAAAUUGUGAAUUAAAGUCAAAUUCACUACAACAUUGACAUAGAGUUGUAUUCCAAACUUCAUUUUAAUCAAACGUAAUUAAUUUCCAUUUUAAUGGGAGUCAAAGUCAAGAACAAAAUCACUUGUAUCUUUGAUUUCAACUUAUCAUUUUCAAGAUUCAUCCACUCAUUCUCAUGUACAAAUCUCAAAAAAUGGGCAUUUGUUGAGUAAGAAAUUUUUGCUAAUUAAAUUUUGCCACGUUAUCACGUCAAACAUUGUGAUAUUUAUAAUUUGAUUGAAUUUUGGUAAUUAAGUUUUACCAUACCCAACCCAAUUCAAACCUUAGAUAUAAAAAUAAAGCCAAAAAGGAUGAUGAGCUCAAGUCCAAGUCUAGUAGGAAAAUGGACCCAAGUCCAAGUCCAACAAUUAUUAAGCGGAAGCAAAUUUAAAAUAACCCAUAUGGAAAUCACGCUUUCUUCCUGCCCCUCGUCGGUUUGCCGUCUUUAUUACCUUUGCCUGAAAAUUAAACAUAAGGAGGGUGAGUAUAAAAAUACCCAGUAAGAGACCCUGGUCCCGUCAGGGGAAAAUAAAUUGUUAACAUUCUAUUGGGACACCCUGUAGAGUCGCAGUCUUGUGAUCCCGUAGGAUGCACAUUUCAGUCUAACGCCGCCGAGGGACGUACAUUUCAGUCUAGUGUUUUGCAGAAAACACAUAUCAGUCUAAUGCUCCCGAAGGUGCAGAAUAAUUGGUGAUCCCGUGAGACACCUACAAGGCACACAUCCCAAUAAAAGCUAACAAUUUUUCCCCUCGGUCCAUUCUAAACAUCUUAGCAAUCAUUCACAGAUCAGUUAAACAUUCUCAUCACGUAAACUUCUUAUUUAACCUCAAACAGUCGUCUUACUCUAAAUUAGCCCAAGGUCGGUAAAAAGCAUAUCAUUACAUCAAUUAACAAGCUAAACAAUCAUAACCUCCUCCUCAGUCACCAAGGGCACAACCAUGACGUUUCUUCCGUUCACAAGCACACAACAUAACAAUAGAUUAUACAUUCAGUCUAGACAACAAUCAAUCUACUAAUCAAAUCCACACUUUAUAUAAGCAACAUCUACGAGAUUCAGUCGUUUCCACAUCCCUUAUCUUUGUACAACAUACAUAACCAGACAGUCACAACAUAUACUCAACCACAGUCCACAUCAACACCCAUGCACAUAUAUGUAUUAAUUUCUCCCGGUCAAACACAGCAAACAUUAAACUUUAAGUCAAUGUCCAAACAUACAUCAUAAAAAUCAUCUCUACUCAGUUCAAAUAUAAUAAUACGGUCCAUACAGUCAAUACAUCUUAAUUAGUCAUUAUAUCUUAAUUUUGUUAUUGAGUCCAGUAGAAAAUCUCUUACCUCAAAGUUAGGGAAGCUCCUUAACCAACUAUCGUCCACGAAACAAUCCAAAUAAGAGCAACCCGAAAUCAAAAUUCACAAAUUGGUUGUGAAUUUAAGUGAUACAAAGUUAUCUUUCACACCUUCAAGAAUAAUUUAUCAAAUUAGUCAAUUAACCCAUCCGUAACGUUUGAACACCUUGAAAACAUCACAACCCAUACUUAAAUUGUUUUGGAAACGACUACAAUUUCAUAACUUCAAUCUUACCAACAAAACUUCGACGGAUCUCAGUAAAAAUAGGGACAGCGGCAAUCGAUUCUAAACAAAAACCAUCGUGCAGACAGAUUAGAGUGUACGCUGGCUUGUGAAUCGCGGUUAGAAGAAAAACACGCUGCUGGAAGAAGAGAAAACGCGCGGCUGGAAGUAGACGUGCGCGCUGCCUCAAAAUCGAUCGACGAUCUGAUGCGGCGACCGGGCUUCACGAACGGAGAGGAAAGGAAUGGGCGGCGGCUGGGCUUGGCUUCGACGGAGACAGAGGCGAUUGGGACGGGGCACGGCGACGCAGAUCUGGACGACAGCUGCAAGGUGACGUGUACGACUUGCUUCGCGAACAGAGAUGGCGGCCGACGGUUGCAGCGGCGGCUGGGUAUGGUAGAAAAGAAAGAGAAACGGAAGAAGAGAAAUUUUGGGGUGGCCGGCGGUAGAAAACGAAAAGAAAAGAGGGAUGGGUUUUCGUUUUCGGCUUGGUCUGACAGUCGACGUCGAACGAAAGAGGAAGAAAAGAGAAGAAGGAGCGGCGGCGAACGGAAGGGAAGAGAGGGCGUGCGGCUGCUAGGGUAUAGGAAGGAGAAGAAGAAAACGGGAGGAAGAAGGAAGGAAAAAAAUUUCUUUUUCUUUUCUUUUAUUUAAAUUAAAUAAUAAAACUAAAAUAUAAAUAAAUAUAUAUAUAAUUAUAUUAUCACAUUUUCAAAUCUUCUUUCUCCCCCUUCAACAUAUUUUCUUCAAAAAAAAAUAAAUAAAUCUUAUACAAAUCGAAUAAUUUUCUUAAAAUAAAUUACCUUCGAGUUUGGGGCGUAACACACGGUCAUCACAAGGAGCUGAAAUUAUAAUUAUAAAUUUCUAGAUGUUUUCAUUCUUAUCUAUUAAUUUGUAUUUGUUUAAAAAUUAGUCCAUGACAUCUUGAAGUAAACUAUCUUAAAUAGGAGCUUUCAAAUUUUCAAAAAAAUACUUAAAAGAAAAAUAAAAUAUUUUAGGAUCCAUUUUUUUAAUACACGGAUGAUUUUGAUUGAAAUUUAAAUAAAUUUAUUGGUGAUAUUAAUUCUUUCAAUAAAAUAAUGAUACUACUUGGAUAAAGUUUCCAACUACAUCUCAUAUAAUAAUAUAGGCUUAAAUUUCAUAUCUUAAACUACAUUCUUUAUAUAUAUAUAUAUAUAUAUAUUACAUACCAAACCUAAGAUUACAUAAGAUUACAUUCUAUAAUUUAAAAAGUGUGAAUACAAAUAAAGACAAUAUAUAUGCAACUACUACCAUCAAUAAUUAAACUAACUUUUAGUGAACUUGAUCUACAUCUAUGGAGCCAAAUUAUGAAGUAAAUGUGCCAAUAAUUGUGUUCUCUUACACUCUCAAGCUCUUUCAUCAAUCUUUUACAAUAAAAAAUGUUCAAAUUUUAACUUUCAUUUACUACUUUUAAAACGUUUAUUUUAGUUUAUACUUUUUAAAAUUGCUCUUUUCAUCUUUUAAACUGAAAUUAAAAAUAUGAAGAGAUCAAAAUAAGAGAAAUAAAUUCAUUUACACUUAAAAGUAAAGAAAACUCAUAUAUCUUAUUUCAAAAAUAAAAUAAAAGAUAAAUCGAAUCAGAUUGAUCUAGUUGUUUUGUUUAGUUCUUCUCAAAGUAUUGACCAUCUCAUUAAUAUUUUCAUGAAAAUUGAUUUUUUUAUGAUGAUGUUUUUAUUGUAUUAAACAAUUGAUUUUUUUUGUAUGAUGAUGUUUUUAUUGUAUUAAACAAUCAAAAAUUGAUUUGAAUUGUAGUCUAUAUAUGUCUCACCUAGUAUUAGUUGGUUUUGCUAUAUUUGAAAAUGUGAAAGAUAUUAUUUAAUUUAUUUUUAAAUUAUAUUUUUAUAACAAAAUAUCUAAAUAUUACACCUAAAAGAAAAUAUAUAUUACAAAUGUGUAAAAAAUGACAAAAAAAAAAUCUAGAUAAAAACAAAAUCUUUAACUUGAUUACGAUAUGUUCCACUAUAAAUAACCAAUAAUAAUAAUAAAUAAUAAACUAUUGACACUCAUAUUAAUUGUUGAUAUGAACUACUGAUAUUAUCUCAAUCAUAUUUACUAUUGACAUGGAUAUUGAUAUUAAUGUUAAUUUUCGAUAGAGAUACUAUUGGAACUGGAAUUGGAUAAUGUAGUAAAGCAAGUAUUGGAAGCAAAAUUUGGCCAUCUGUAUGUUUGGAUGCCUAGAUCAGGAGACACUUGUUAGUUGUUACUUGGUGUUGUUGCAUUUCGGUGGAGCUAAUCAUCGUAGUAAGAAAAAUAGUAAAACAGAAGCACGUUAACAAAAUGUCUAAGUCAUGAAUCUCGCACUCUUUAAGACGUUUCACAGCUUUGAUCGGUAUGCAAACAAUUUUGAAAUUGCCCCAUCAUCUCCAAGAUAAAACAACAUCAGUUCUUCAUCCAAAGCUAAACCAAAAUCGAACAAAAUACCAACACUCUAAAGGAUACUUUCUCGAAAAACAAAACUAGAACAAAAAUAGAAAGGAAGGGAGAGAACACAAGGUAGAAAGUGAGAAGAGAAACGUUUGUUUUUCGUUUUUAUGUGUUGAAAUGAGAAUGAGGUGUGCCAUAUAUAUAGCGGAGCAAAAUGUAAUGAUUCAACGUGAUAAAUUGUGAACGGUCGAAACAAUUUGGUAACGGUUGAAACAUUUGUAACGUUUUGUAAUGGUAAAACAUUUCAUCAACAAUCCUCCACUUGAAAUUUUUUUAAUAAUAAUUCCCCCACUUGAAAAUUUUUAAAAACAUUUUCUUCAAUCAGUAUACAUCUGUGUACACCACAAGAAAUUUCAGAUCUCGCAACGCAGUAAAUCGUCGGAAUAUAUAUUAAAAUUUAUCAAAAAGGGAUCUUUUGCCGCAUAAAAUGAGCGUUGAGAGCCGACUCGAGAGAAAUGCAUUGAGAGAGGAUUUCUCGAUGUCGUGAAAUGAAGCAUCAAGAUAUCGAAGAACUCCCAGUGUCGUAUGGCGUCGAGAGUUCGCCAUCCUAGGUGUUGGAAAUUAAGACCAAUCUCCCAACGUCUAUGUACGACGUUGCACUACAAGAAAAGUGGUCUACGACGAAAUUCGUGACAAUUAUUUAUAGUUAUAGAAGCGGGAGUCGUGGAAAGUCCUUCCAUGACAGUUUUUGAGAACUGUCGCAAUAAGCUUUUUCAUGACAGUAAAUAAAUGUCGUUAAUUACUAUUUUAUGACAACAAAUAACUGUCAUAUUGUAUAUUAUGACAACAAAUAACUGUCAUCAGUUGCGUAUUAACGACAGUUAAAAAAAAUGUCGAAAAUUCAUUUCUUAUGACAUUUUUUAAAUGUCAAGGAUAGAGCAAUCGUGACAGCUUUUUUAAAAAUAAAUGUCAUUGUUUCGCUAUUAACGACAUUUUUUUUCCUGUCAAAUAUAGGAUAGUCGUGACAGUUUUUUUUAAAAAAUUAAAUGUCAUUAUUUUAGUAUUAACGACAAUUAUGAAGUGUGACGAAUUCAUAUAUUAUGACAAUUAUUUUCUGUUACAAAUCCCUCAAUUACUACCAUAUUUUUAUGUUCUCCUUAUCUCUUCGCCAUUACACGAACCAUUUGAAUGACAAUAAUGUUAUAAUUCAUUCAUCCAUAUAGAAACAAAUGGUCGAUACUUUAAUAUAUAUAUAUAUAUACACAUAUAUAUGCUAUAAUACACUUUGUAAUAUUCGUACAUUUUCAAUCAAGUUUAAACAAUUUACAAAUAUGGAAUUUACAAGGUCUUUAAAGAGGCAUACAUGCAAUAUCCUUUAGCACCAGAAUUAUCACUCAAGUAUUUGGUAAAUUUCCUCAGGCCUCCUCCUUCCUCUAAAAUUGUUGCAAUCCUUCAUUUUAAAAGGUAAGCAUAUGCUUCUGCAUCCUGUAGAACAAAUAUAUCAAAUGUUCAAACAUGAAAAGAAUCCAUAGAAGGAAAAUAAAAACGUACACUAUCGAGAACAAAAUUUGUAUGCGAUACACUAUAUCAAACAAUAAAUUAAUUUCCAAGUCAAGAGGCCCAGUACUCUCCCUUUCACAACCCUGCGAAAGGAGCAACCACGACGACAAUAAAACAAAGUUUACUACUUGUAUCAUUAUUUGAAGCUUUAUACCGUGGAUUGACACUACAAUCAAAAGAACAUACUCAGGAUACAAGAAUUUCAACAUCUGAACUAAAUUCAAACAGUCUCACAUCGAAAGCGUAAAAGCAAAUAUAUAUAUAUGAAAGUUCUCUUCUGUCGUUAAUUAUUAUUUGAAGUUUUAUUUUCUUCUAUUUCCAACCGGGUUCUUGUUUUUCAUGCUAUUCUCCAUUGAAAUGCAAGUUCUUUCUUUCUUUGUGCUCUGAUCAUUUCUCUUCUGUUUGGUCUAAGCUAAGAACAACUACUGGGAUUGUCUUCUUUUCCUUUCUAUUUUGCUUCAUUUUUUUUUUCAAUAUGGUCUUGGCACAAUGCAACAAACUGUAAGUCCAAAAUAGAGAUUUUUAUAAAGUAGCCAGUUCAAUAAAUUUCUAUUUGUAAAUGGUCGGAACCUAAUAAGUAAUUGUAAAAGCUAAUACUUAGAUCCAAUCAUAAAAGCCACAUUAGAAGGAAAGCAUGCGUGCCAUGUGUGUUGCAACCUCAUUAAAUAAUUGUUUUCCAUCAAUAACCAUACAACAACAAAGCAAAAACAUUAUAUGAUCCUAAAUGUUACAUUAAAAAAUAACAAAUUAAGUGUGUUAUAGUUUUUGCAUCAGAAUAUUACGAGUUGAGUACAUUGACAAUAAUUUCCAAAGAAAAUGAAGAUGAGAAAGACAAUUUGAAUGAAUAAAGCAUAAACUACCUUAAUAAGUUCAUCAGAUGCAACAUAUCCUAUUGUUUCUUCAAGACUCAUCUCUGCAUUUAAGUUUAAAAUUAGAUGUUAGUGUGAGUAAUCAUACUUAGGAAAAGAUAAUAAAGCUUUCUAGCCUACUUGUGUCCUGACGUUCUAGAGUUGAAUUCUACAUCUUGGAUACUGGAUUCACAAUAAAACUAAAAUAUAUACAAUUGGAACUCAAUGUAGAAAUAACAUACAAGUCGAGGUGGAGAUAGCUUCACAUUUUCAUCUUUGCAAGCAGAACGGAUAUUGGUAAGUUUUCUUUAGUUCUUACAAGAUUAACCUGGAAAAAAAUAAAAUUGCUUACCAUGUAAAUCAAGUAGAAACAACUUCGAUCCAAAGUUUAAACAUAAAGUUCUCAACUUACAUCUAGAUCUAAUUCCCUAGAAUGUUCUCCAAUAAUCAUUCCAUCAUAAGUCUGCAACAUAAAUUAUCAAGAAAACUAAGCAGAACAUUUUCAAGGACCCAUAUAUUAUCUACAAUGAAAAGAUAGUGGAUCCUCAGUCUACUGGAGACAACAAAAUGUACAUUUAGACCAACUCAUAGCAUAAAAGAUAAUAGGUCUAUGAAUCAAAUGAUUUCAGGGUAUCAUAAAUAGUUCAUAAACAAACGUAUAUAUAAUUGAACAUCCACGCUUCCGGCCUAUGAAAACAGGGAAACAAUUAAUUCACGAGAUGGAACAUUAUGAGCAACUUCUAUCCAAAAGGAGGAAAGAGGGGUGGAAAGUGUACAUUAAAAAACCAUUAUGCACCAUAUAGAUGGAUUGACAUGACUUAGCUACAAACACUUGUGCAAACUGCAAAAUGACAACAACUAGCACAAUAAAAAAUUGUAAAACAAAGAGGGAAGAUAACUUUCAGAUAGAAUCUUCUCUAUGAAAGAAAACUAAGCACCUUUUGAUGUUGGUACUUGUUCCUUUUAAGGUUAUGUUUGUUGUCUAUAUCCAUGGUUUUAGGUAUUUGGUUUGAAAGAACAAGAGGCUUUUCACAAACAAUUUUCUAAAUGGUGAAUUGCCAAUUGCCAAACUAAACUUCAUUACAACAAGUCUAAUAUACUAAGUUAAAAAUAGGCUUCAGUGUGUGUAACAAUCAGAUCAUAGAACACACUCACACAAUGCAAAAGAAAAAGAAGAAGACUUUUAAAGCUUCAGACACAUAUCGUCAAACACCUUACAAGCACAAACUAAUAUCAUAUUUUCUCAUAAUCUCACAAAAAAAUUCUUGUUUAAGUGUCAAGAUAGAAUUGAUUGAUGAUGUUCUUUUUUAGAAAAUUUCAAGAAAUAAAUAAGAGAAUACCUUCAACUUUUCUGCAUUAUUCCAAAAUCCUAUCACACAAGAAAUCUUGUUGUAAUCCCAACAAGGAAAGCUUGUGUUCUUCCUCCAUCCACAAUACAACGAGAUAAAACCUAACGAAAAUCCUAAAUGUAUUAAGUGAAAAUCUCCACCAAUCAUCAGUCAUUUACACAACUACUCCAAAUCAUAUCUUAAAAUCACUAGGUAAGCACCAAUUCAAAGAAAAAUGGAGAAAAUCAAACCUUGCUAGAAUGCAGACGUUUUUGUUAAAUAUUGAAUCCUGAAAAACCAUUCACAGCACACUAAGAAACGUUCAUAGAAACAUAAGAAGUGACAAUCAAGACCAAGGGCAGAGUUGGGUUCAUAAAAAUUUAAUAGUUUUUUUUUUUUUUUAGGAAUUUCAUCAAACACAUAGUGGGUAAAUUCAAAGUUGUUAAGGUCAUAAGAACAUGCCAAUAGCAAAUGCCCUUUUCCCUUGAGGGUAAAACAGAGUCCAUACUGUUUUAGAAGCAAAUCCAACUUACCUUCCUCCAUUUUCUCAUAAUCCCUCUUCGUGUACCUAGGAUAAUAAAGCAGCAUUUGAACACCCACUUUCAAAAUUCAAAAAAUUAAGAAUCCACUUUAACCUCAUUAAAAAAAAAAAAAAAAAAAGGAAAAAGUUGAAGAAGAGGACAAAGAGAGCUACGUAAAGCAUUUUUUUUCUUCUUCUGACUUGGGUAUGAAGAAGAGGGGUAGUUGAAAUGCAUGUAUAAAGACAUUGGAUUGUUGGAAUGUUUAUGAAAGGGAAUUACACAAUAUUCACAGAGAGAGACAAAGAGAGAAGGAAUAGAAACUUACCGGCAGAGGAGGUGAUGACAAGCACAAAUGGCAGAAGAGGUGAUGAGGCCCAAAUAUGGUCGAAUUGGAGAUAGAAGAUCAGAUUGGAGAUGGAGACUUCGCAGGAGAAUUGAGGAAAAUAAUAAGGGUUUACGAUUUGGGGAAAUAUUUUCUAAAUUUCUAAUCUUUAUUUAUUAUUUUUUUAAUAAAAAUAAAAUAUUAUUUUAUGUUUUUUCUAUGAUAUUAGAUAACUGUCGUGAAAUGUAUUAUCCGAAAAAUUUCGUCUUUUUCCGCCAAAAACGCGAAAUUUUACAUUUUGUGUCAGUUUUUUUUUCCCUCUCCCAUUUUGUGAUAUACACAACUGUCAUAGUAGACAGCUUUUCUUGUAGUGUUGAGAGAUCUUUUUAUAACUUUUGACGUUGUGUCUAAGGCGUCGGGAGUUAGGUUAUUUUUUUAAAAAAAUAUAUGUUUAUUUUAUUUUAAUUUUAGGUUUUUGUAACCUAAAAUUAAAAGAAAAUAAAGGCAUUUUGGACGUUGGGGAAAUGUAUAAAAUGUAUACGUCGAGUGAGUGCUCGACUGCAUCUUAACAACACAAAAUGGUAAUAGCAUGAAUGUAGAUAUAGAGAACAAUGGAACUUCUUAUCAUGAAACAAAACAUAGUCAACCAAAAUAAGGACAAUUAACUUGAAAGUUUCAAAGUUACAGAGCAUAUCAAUAUAAUUGAAAGAGUAAAAUAGGACACCACUUUUGAAGUGUAGAAAUAAGGAAGACCAAAAUCACAAGAAAGAAUCUAAUGAAUUGGAACCAAGAAAUACCAUUCCAUCGGAGUUCAAUAGCAACAGGGUAAACUUGUGACCGAAGUUGUAGUCUUUGGUUAAGUCUGCAUGGUCACCAUCAAAGUGAAAAUAAGCUUUUGGAAUUUAUAACUAUGCCAAGGUAGAGCAUCACAUACACAUCCAUGAUUCACAUCAAAUAAAAUUAUAGCAUAUAAUUAUGGUAUUUUAAUAUUAUACAUACAUACACACAUACUAAAAUUGGUAUAGCAUCUCAUAUGCACAGAAAAAAUAGAUAACAUGUGUACAUUUGACAUUUUUGCCAAUAUCCUUAAACAUACUUAGAAGGAAACAAUUAUGUAUGGUUUUGUACCUUACUUAGGUCAAGCAUAGAUUUUAGGGGAGAAAUGAGGAACAAAUCUUACAUCAAUCAAAAUUGAUAUAGCAAAACAAACAUUAAAAGAAAAUAAAAAGGAAACCAAAAGUCCAAAUUUCCUCCAAGUAUGGACCUCUUACAAAAAAAAAAAAAAAAAAAAAACCCUAUAUAAUUGGAAUAAAAGUCAUGUACUAGCUAGCAAAUGGCUCGAUAUAUAUAUCACAUGAAUCAAAUUUAUUAUAAGUGUGUAGAAUAGCAACAUAAGAAAGCAACAAGUUGAGGACUAGAAGAAAGAUUCAUACAACAAGCUGAGGUCUCACAUCAUUUUUAGACAAAAAAAAUUUGAUAAGCUCUCAAAGCCUACUUCAGCUAGGGCCUAAAAUUUUUUCAACAAGAAGUUUCUUAAGAUAACAUCUUUUCGGAAGCAUACAUUACAGACCCAACAUACCACAACAUACAAGUAGGUGGAAAAUAUUUUCAUUCAAACAAUGUACAUCAUAAAGUAACAUUUGAAUCUCGAUUGAUUAAUCUAUUUUUAGGUGGCUUUUCCUACUUUGAUUUAUAAGUUAACAAGGAAAUUCUCCACCAUGUUUUCUUCUCGAGAAGAUAGUGAGUAUAGCAUCUUUGAACCUCUACGAGAAAGUAACCAAUCUAAGAAGCAUCCUACGAUCAUUAGUCCAAAGUCUGCAUUACAAAGUAUUAAAUAGAUAAAAUUUAUUUUUGAAACCUAUGAAUCCAUUUCAUUUCACACAUAAAGGAAACUAAAAUCUCCAUUUGGAUAGUCAUCGGUCCAAACCCAAUAUACUACAAUGAAGAAACCAUAAAACUAGUAAUAGUAGUUUCUAAGCAACCUAUUAUAUUCUCAAACAUUGACAGGAAACACUUACGUACCCUUAAAGAACAAGGGCAAGAAACACUUAUGGAUUGUCAAUAUACAUUUUAAUGGGAUGAAAUUAAAGAAGCAAAGAGAAAGAAGAAAAAGGCCUAAAUAAUUGAAAGAAAUUGAAGGAAUACCCUAAGUUUGACAACCCUCCCAAGCACACAUAAAAUCAAUUAAAGUUCCAAAUAUAUUACAUACAUAAAGAGAUAGUGGUGGCGGCAGCAACGACGACACCGAAAACCCUUCUCCUUCCACUCUUCAAAAGUCUAAAAAACAAAGCCCUUCCUCAUGAGCCCUUCUUCUUAGAAGGUCCUUUAAAUGCCAACACAUAUAUUAAUGCAUCGGCAGAUCUCUACCAAUUCACGACACCAUUACUAAUGCCGUCAACAAUUAUCUUAUAUCUCCUAACGUGGAGUAAAAUCGUCAGGGGUGUCCUACAUCUCUUGACGUUGUGCAUGGCUGGCGUCGGGAGUCAGUUACUAAUUGUCAACGCUUGUUGUAUUUGUCCGGAGAGAUUAUAUCUCCUAAUGCUUCAAUUGGUGUGUUGAAAGAAGCCUAUUCUCUCGAUGGUGUGAAUCUACAUUAGGAGAGUCAUACUUUCUUGUAGUGGUAAUAUUGUGCUUAAGCAAAUAUGUUUUACAACUUGAACAUUUAUGUAGUGACAAUAAUUUAGAAUAUUGUAAAGUAACCAUUGGUUUUAAAUUAUACCUCUAAUAACAUUGCAUACACAUUAUUAAUUGAGUGAAGUUCUAAAUGGUCGUACCUUAAGGCCUUACAUGUAUAUCCCGAUUUAGUGGAUGCUAUGGAGAAUUAUCCUAGAAUUCCAUAGAAAGCGGCUCUCACUUCCACAUCCACAAAGGUGACUCAGUCACCCUCUUGUGUUUUUCGAUUCGUUUGAUCUUUGUUGGAGUCGCGUUAUUGCUCCUCCGAUAGCCAUUUACGCCAUUAUUGUUGUGCGUUUUGAGUUUUCAUUCCUUCAGUUAGUCGUUAAAAUUUCUCUCUUGUAGACUUGGGUAAAGUUCUAAGCAUUAUGAAGUGGGUUUUGAGUACCUAUCUAAGUUUGAUGUUAAUAUUGAAUAAACCAUGAUUUGUGGAUGUUAGGACCAAAUUUAGAAAACUGCUAAACGCUUUUCUUUAAAGCUAAGGUUGUAUAUUGAUAUGCCUUAGGUAAGAUUUUGGAUACUUAUAACGAGUGUUCUUGAAAUUUUGAAUACCCAUUGAGUUUCGACUUGAUUUUCACAAUACCCAUUACAUUUUGAUGCUACAUUCGAAUUUUAAAUGAGUUUGGGCCGUUGUGCAGCCAUAUGGAAGCUUGAAAUUAGGCGUUUUGACACCACUUAGGUAAGUUUCUAAGCUUUUUAGAGCAGACUGUUGAGUACUCAUUUAACUUUAAUGAUAAUAUUGAGUAACCGCUAAUCUUGUUGAAAUUAAGGGGACUUGUUAUGUUCUUGGUAAGGUUUGGAAUAGUUUUAUUGAAGUUUCUUAUAGUUCUUGAAUACCCAUUAAGUUUAAUCAUUAAAAUAAAAUUACCUAUGAUACUCGGGUCCUAGAGUUGAAAGGUUGAAAUCGACUUUCCAUUAACUUUGGAGUUCGCUUGGGUGUUUUGGAACAAAAUGGUGAGAAUCUUGUUUUUUUUUUUUUUUUUUGGAUGCCUAUUGAAUACCAAAUAUAAGUGGUUAGUGCAAGAAUUAAUUUACUCACGAUUUGAAUGCUAGAUUUGAGUUAGAAAAGUCGUUAUUGUGCUGUGUAGGCGAGUCAUGACGAUUUCGACAAGUUUGCAAUAAGUUUUGGGUACUUUAGUGCAUUUUCUUUAUGUUCUUAGAAAUACCUAAUUGGUGUAUGCGUAGGUUUGUUGAUGCCCAUAAUGUUUUGGAUUAAAAAUAGGAGAGUUUGAGGAUUUUCAAGGAAUUCCCAAUAGGUUGGCUUGAGAUUGUUAAUUGAUCUAAAUCUUCAAGGUAUGGAUAUUGGGUACGAGAACUUGUUGAAAUGAAAGACUCAAUCAGUUUGAUUUAAGUUUGGACAUCCAUUUUUCUAAAAAUUUAAAUUUGAGGUUUAAAAAUUUUGAAAGUGGACUUUUAGUUUAGUCUAAGGAGUUUUGAAAAUGCAAGAACUCUAGGAAUGUAAAAUAGCUUGAAGGCUCAUAAUGAAGUGUUUUUAAAGAUUAUUGUGCCGUCUUGCUAAGUGAAGAUCCGAGAGACCUUAAUCUUUGUUUCAAGCUAAAUCAAAAUGGAGAAGCGUAUAAUCUUGGGGGAUCAAAUCAUUGACUGUGAGUGACUCAUUUUCAAGCUUUGUUUGUACUUGUGCUAUUUAUUAUAUAUAGCUUGAAAACUACUGUGAUUGAAACUUGUUAUGACUACGUUUCCAUUUAUACUUAAAUGACGUGUGUACUCAUGAUGAUUUUAAGAAUGUGUAUGUUUAAAAUUUUUACAAAAAUGUUAUUAUAAAAGUAUGUGUCGAUGACUAAGGACUGAAAUUACUUUAUGAAAAUGUGUUUUUAGGCCAUGUUUGGCUUUCAAGCAUGAAAUAUGUGAUUCUAUGAAUGAUGAUGAUUUACCCAUAAGCUAUGCAAAUGUGUUUCUAUAGCGUCACCUAUAGUUGUUCAAGGUUCUGGAGCUGAAAGAGGUCGUGAUCGAAGAUCCAAGAACUUGAACCUAGGUGAGGAUAUGGGUGAAGGAUUGUGACAUGACCUGAAAUACUACUUGUGAACUAGGCUAACAUACCAAAAUUUUCUAAAAUAAAAGAAAGAAUGUGCAAUUGGACCCAAACCUUAAAAUCAAACCAACAACAAACUAAGGAGGCUCAAUUUAUAAAUUAUUUAGGUCGUAUUUAGUAAUCAUUAAAUUUUUGUUUUUAUUUUUUAAAAUUAAGUUUAUAGAUACUACCAAUUGUUCAUUGAUUUGCUAUCUAUUUUUACCAUCAUAGUUUAUAAAACCAAACAAUACUUUGAAAAAAAAAACUAGCUUUUAAAAUUUUGUUUACAUUUCUAAAAUUGAGCUUAAAAAAUGAUUCAUUAGUUAAGGAAAAUACAAAUUAUUAUAAGAAAUGAGGAGAAAAUAAAGUUGAUAUUUAAAAAGUUCAAAUUAUUAGAGUAAUUUGAUAAAGCCAAAUCGUCUAUCUAAGUAUUUAUAAAGUAAUAUGGAAAAAAUAAAAUAAAAAGGAAAAAGAAAAAAAUUGCAUUCCCCACACCCAAAGGUUGGGUGUCAAAUAAUUAAACAUUUUUAAUUACAAUAAAGGCCAUAGAAAAUAAAAAGAAAAAAAGGUUAAAAAAGUCUCCCACUGAUCCUUCUCUGUCUAUGAACAACCAAAGUAUCCGUUACACCCACCAUUCAAUUCCCUUUUUCCCCAACUUUAAUUUAAUAAUCCUACAAAUCAAACCUAUCCCAAUUCUUCAAUUCCUCCCAACGGAUUCAAAGAUUCCCUUCUUUUUCUUCACUCCUCCGCUCCCCCCCUCCCUUCUCCCUCUCUCUCUCUCUCUCUCUUCCAUGGAUCCUCCUGUAACAGAAGCUGCCACGCCAUUGUUGCACUCCACAAGCUCUGAAAGCAGCAGUGACGCUGACGACCACACUCCCCCGACUUCCUACCGAUUCCACUUCAAAGGCAUCAAAUUCCCUUGUGAUUUUCUCAACAAAUCCCCAUCUGGGUAUUCUUCAUAUCGCCCACUGGCUGUUCUCCCCGGCCACAUUGGCUCUGUUUCUUCUUUGGCUCUAUGUGGUGAGUUCAUUUUAAGCGCCUCGCAAGGGAAAGACAUAAUCGUAUGGCAGCAGCCGGACUUAAGGGUUUUCACUAGAUUCGGCCAUGGUGAAGGAUCGGUUAAGGCGGUGGUCGCCGUCGGGAACAGAGUCUUCACAGCUCAUCAGGACGGGAAAAUCAGAGUUUGGAAGGUUUCACGCAGGUCGGAGAACAAUUUCCGUCUCGUGAAUACUCUACCAACGGCGAAAGACUAUUUGGGUAAGUUUAUGAAACAAAGCAAUUAUGUUCAAACAAGAAGGCACCAUAAAAUCCUGUGGAUUGAACAUGCGGAUACAAUUUCUUGUUUAGCUGUUCAUAAUGGUCUGAUUUACUCUGGCUCUUGGGACAAAACCCUAAAAGUUUGGAGGGUUUCUGAUUUGAAAUGUUUAGAAUCCAUUAAAGCUCACGAUGAUGCCAUUAAUGGGGUUGUAGCUUGUAAUGGGAUUGUAUAUUCAGCUUCUGCAGAUGGGAAAAUCAAAGCAUGGGGAAGAAGAAAAAAAGAAGAAGAACAAGUAGAAGAAGAAAUGCAUAGUUUGUUAGGGAUUUUAGAGGGUCAUAAGGAUGUAUCAAUAAAUUCUGUGGUAGUUUCAAAUGAUGGGAAAUGGGUAUUUGGGGGAAUUUCAGAUGGGUUUUUAAUGGGAUGGGAAAAGAUUGGAGAAACAAUGAGUUGGAAAGUUGUUUGUGAGAAAAAAGCUCAUAAAAUGGCUGUCUUAUGUGUAUGUUUGACGGGGGAGUUUUUGUGCAGUGGAUCAGCUGAUAAGAGUAUUGGGAUUUGGAGAAGAGAAGCAUUUGGGAGACUGUGUAAAAUUGGGGUGAUAAAUGGACAUGAAGGACCAAUCAAAUGCUUACAAGCAGCUCCAAAUGGUGUGGGUGAGGGAUUCUUGUUGUAUAGUGGUAGCCUUGAUAAAAGCUUGAGAGUUUGGUGGGUUUCUAAAGCUUCUGCUUCAUCAUCUUCAUCAUCUUCAUCUUCUUCUUCUUCUUCAGCCAUGGGAGUUGGUGCUUUCGUUGCAGAGGAUUCGAAGAAGUCUAUCAUUUCCUUCUGAGUCAAGUUUUUGAAGUUGAAGCAUUGGUUGGGUUCUUUUAUUCAAGCCUUCAUUGCUUCAUAUUCCUUUUUCAUUUUUUUUCUCAGUAGAUGUGAAGAAGAAAUGGCAAGAUUAGGGUAAAGCAUAAUUGGGUUUUUUUGGCUUUUCUUUUAUUUAAUUCAUUUUUGGGUCAAAGCAACAUAAAUUUUUGAGUCAUUUGUAACAAAUUUUUUUGUGAAGAUACAAGUGUGGGAAAUCAUGGAAAUGUGUGAAGUCUUUGUAAUGUAUACCAAUUUAUUUGAAUGUAUAUUCUCUUUUACACUAUUUUGUUACAAGUUGUAAUAGUUGAGAAAAGGGAUUUCAAUAAACGAAACAGUCUGUUGUUGGUGUUGUAAAUAUUAUAUUUGAAUAGUUUUGUUUUCCUUUGACUUAGAAUUGAUUUUUAGUUUUGUAAUUGUUAAAUGUUAAUGAUUAGAUUAGAUUAAGUUGAUAUAAGAAGGAACAUGUCAGGUUUACUUGAAGAGGAGACAUGGUUACCCCACCAAAUAUAAGGAAAGAAUAAGAGAUGGUUCAACUUCAAUAAGUUUCUAAGUUCUUUACCAACUAAACAACAAAAAUAUAUUUAACUAAUAAGUUCUUUUAAGAAACCCUUCCUCCUCUCCACCCUCAUUUAGUUUAAAUAAUACUUGAAUAAAAGUAAGGUUGAAAUACUAUUUGGUUUCUAAACUUAUUUCUACUUUUCAUCUUAAAUUUUAUAUUUUUUAAUCGGUAAGAAAUUUGUUACCAAUAGCAAAAUAAAUAAGAAAAAUUAGAUGAGUAAUAAUACACCAUUUUAAAACUAUUUUAAUGUAUAGUAUUUAAAAGUACCAUUUAAUUUAAUUGAAACUAAACUCAAAAUUUAACGACAACAGUGUUACAUUUUGAAAUCGAAACCAUACUUAAAAUUUAUAUGCCAAAAUGUAUAUUCUUUUUCAUUUUCUUAUAUGAACUUUAACCCUUCAAAUAAUUAAGAGAAGAUAAGAUAUCAAUUCAUUCUAACAUAUUUAUACAAUGUAUCAUAUAUUUUUUUACUCAAUUAAUUAUGUUAACUUUGAGAUUUUUAUCCGUUAAAACUAGAAACUAACAAUUAUAUAAAGGUUGAACUUUUAUGAGUGUUAUCAAUUUACACUGUCUUUAAAUUUCAUUUAAAAAAAUUGAAUUGUUCUAAGUAAAUCACUAUAGACUGUUUAUUAAGAUUUAUUUUUGAAAAUCAUCCGUUUAUUAAUUCUUACACAAGAAUGUGGGUAAAUUUCUUCCAAUUUUCUUAGAUGAAUAAGAUAGACAUAGUUUAUCUCUCAGUUUAAAGUAAUUUUUUUAUGUUAAUUUUUGUGUUUAUCUUGUAUUAUUGUUUUCUUUCAAUUUGGGUGCAACCAUAAUUUUAGUUAAUUUUACAAAUCAAAUUAAAAGGUUUUGAAACUAAGGAUAAGGUUGAAAUUAUGGUCACACACAGUAACCCAAUUAUUGAAAUUAAGUCAAAGUAAUGGAUAACCAAAUUGAUAAUUUAAUCAUUUUCUUUAGUAUUCUUAAAGUUAUUAAUAAUUUGAUGGAGGAAUAUUAAUUUUGGUAGGUAAUAAAGAGAAUACAAAAGGUGCAUGUUAAUUAGCUAGAGCAAUCAAUAUAUGUAUGUUUCUAGGAAUCUUUCCUUACAUGUGACACUAUGCAUCUUAUAAAUAUCUUUCAAUUUUUUUAUUGUAUUUGGUUGAGGUUUUCUACUAAUCAAAUGUAUUUUAAACAUUUUUAUAGAUACCAAUUUGACUUUCCUUAAAAAAAAAAAAAAAGUGUCCAAAUUUUAUGAAUACUUUGAUAUUUUAAUAUUACAUCAUUUUUUUGGUUACAUAGUAUAUAGUAUAAUUAUGGUACACAUUAUUCUAUCUUGGAUUCAAUUUAUUGUUUAGAGCAAAUUUGGUACUUCUUACAAUUGUCUUUUUAUAAUUUAAUAUCAUUUAAAAAGCAUAGUAGGUAGUAAGAUAUUUUAGCUAAAUUAUGUAUUACGUCUAAAACCUACCCAUCAUGUGAUGCAUAUAUAUGUUUAAAAAUCAACAUCCAAUAUGCAAAGUAAAACUUAAACCAAUUUGUGGAUGAAAAUAAUAGUAUAGCAAAGGAAAUCAAAGAUAAAUAAUUAAAGAGAGCGUUCCAAGUAAUUAUAAAAUUAAGCAGGAUGGAAAAUAUUGUAAAAAUGCGAGAGGAUUAAAUUAAAAUAGCAAAAAUGAAACAAAGUUUGUUGCAAUAUAUACUUGCAUACAUUUUAUAACAUUCUAUAUACUAUAGUAGAUCUAAAUUUGUACUAUGGAAGAAAAAAAAAGUACAAAUAUCUUUAUGAAGAAAAAAAGAGCUUUGAAUGGUGUUGGUUGAGCCAUAGAGUACACUUUGAGAUUCAAAUUAGUCUCAGGUUUGUUGGCAACUUAAUUGCAGAAAAUAGUAGACAAUUUUAUAUAUGGACAUAUCUUCAACUAUUGGUUUUUGUAGUUAUGUUUAGGCUCGUAAUUGUUGGUUUUCAAUUUUUUGAAACCUCUAAGUUAAUACUUGUUGAACGGUUAUACACUAUCACCACUUGAUGUUGUAAUUGAUUGAUGCUUAAUUAAGUGCAUGCAUCAAUCUUACUCAAUUCUUAACACAUUUCUACAAGAUCUUGUGUGAGUUUUGCAAUGGAAUCUCCAAGGUUCCCUAUAUGACUUCUAAGUCCUCCAAUACUCAUCCUACAAAUGUCGCUUACAUGAGUCCUUCAACGUUCUUCAUAGAUAUACUAUAUUGAACUCCUCUCUUUUCUAUAAGCAAGCUAUAUAUAUAGUUCUUCAUGGGUUCUUUGAACAUCCUCUAAGCUUUUAAACGCGGAUUCUUAGCUCAUUCUAGGCACUCCAAAAACUUUUAGAACUCACUCCAAGUUCACAUUUAAGUUCACUUUAAACUCUCUCAUCAUGGAUUGAUAAAGAUUAUUAAUUGGUCGUAUGAACUUAACGCCAAUCUACCUGUAACAAUAAUAAAAGAAAAGAAAAUGAAGUUUUAAAAUAAGGGUGGUUUUGAAUAUAUAAUUUUGAUGAGAGUUGAAGUGGUGGGGAUAAUACGGUCAAGAAAGGGCGAACACAAGAGUGGGGGAGCCUUCAAUUUGAAAUACAAUAACUAACCACCGAAAGCCAAAUUGGAAAGUCCUUUUUUUCUAAAAUGAAAAGAAAAAGAAAAUAAAGGAAAAGUAGUAUUUGUAAUAAAUAAUAUUUUGAUGGAACAAACUUUGAUUAGAGUCUUGAUGUUUAAGGAUAUGAUAUAUUGGACCAUUGUUUUUUAACCCAUAGUGCUCCUUCGCCAAACAAAUUGCCUUUGAGGACUUUAGACUUUUCAAACCCUCUUCUCUCUCAUACUUACCCUAAACUUUUGAAUAUAUUUAAUUCAUUCAUUUUGGUUCUUUUUUCUUCUUCUUCUUCUUCUGCUAAUUGAUUGUUUAAUGUAUAUAGAACAUAUAUAUAUAUAUGGAAAUUUUUAAUAUCUCUAUUAGGAUGAGUUAAUAUAUAGAUUUGUAUGGGAGCCAAACAUAUAUAUGCAUAUAGGUUAUGGUGGAAAAUAGUAUAAUACAAUUGGGUUAAUUAUUCAUUUGGUUUCCUCUAUCUUUUUUAAUUAACUUGUGUUUGAGAAGUUCUCAUAUUUUGAGUUUUACACCGAUUGAUGUGAACACAUUUUGAAUCUAAAAAGUUAAAAAAUAGAGCAAGGGAUUUGGAAAGAAACAUUACAACACGUUGCAAAACCAACUAGAUUACUGAAAAAUUAGAAAAGUUGAGACCCUAGACUUUGAAAAUAUCUAAUUAAUUUAACAUGUCACAUGGUGCUAAUUGAUUUUUUUGCACCAAGGAAUACUGGGUGCACGUGUUGUUUCGCAUGCUAGAAAAAUUCACAAUUUAUAAAGAUAAUUUCUUUCAACCAUCGUAGUUUGAUCUAUUGAUAAAUAAAGGACAUAGGUUUGAUAAAAAAAAAAGACUACGAAAAGGAAAGAGAUCAUCUAAUAGAAGUUAAUAUUCUACAAGUUCUUUUGAACAUUCAAAUAAUGUAGGAUCAAACAUGAUGCUAUCAUCAGAUUAGUUUGAUGUAAGUAAACUAGUUAGUUCUAAAUAUAAUAUAUAUAUAUAUAGAAAGAGGUAUUAACACUUUCAAUUUUUAAAAAGUACUCAAUACAAUGGACAAGUACACACCUUCGAUUUUGUAGAUAUAUUCAACUUUCUAGAUAUAAUAGAUAUUUGAGCUUUAAAUAAAAUAUAAUUUAUAAAUCACCAAAUUCAUUAAAAAAGUAAAAUAUUUAUACUACCACAUGCAAAUUUCUAGGUUUGAUGAUAUUUAGAAGGCAUUUUGAAAAAUAAGAACGUAAACACACAGCAUCCAAAAGUUUAAGACAAAUGAUAAUUAUUAGGCAUAUGUUUUAAAAUUUAAAGCUUACUAGACACACAUCAUCUUUAAACAUUUUAGGAGUGAAUAUUAACCUACUAAGUAUAAAAAAAAAACUAUUACUUUUAGAAACUAAAAUGAAUCUUUUUCCAAGUUCAAGAAAUUGAAUUGACAAUGAAAGAUUAAAAUGGAACAAAAGGUUAGAAUUCAUAGGAGGAAAAUGAGGUUUUAGCUAGUCUAUAUAUAUAUAAUAAAAGAAAUAAAAUAACUUUAGGAAACCUUGGAGCUAAGUUAAUUAAAAAAAAGUUGAAGCUAACUUUGAAUGCUUCUAUCAACUUUUGUAUCUUUUUCCCUUUUCCCUUUUAACAAAGAAAGUUGAACCAUUCUUUGUGGGGAUGGAUGAAGAUUCCACUAUGAUCCCCUUAUCAUUUAACAUCUCUACGGUAAUUUAUUUUAGUCAUUGAUUUGGUCCACCAAAUAGUUGGAUGACUUCAGAAAAACUCAAUUGUAAGAUUUGGGUUGGGUUACAAUUCAUUUGAGUUGGAAUACGAACUAAUUUUUAAUUUUACAAAAUAUAUUUUUUAUGCAUACUAGUUACUAUUAUAUGCACAUAUAUUUAUCUAAUUUAAUUUUAUGAUUUUUUAAAUAAUUUAUUCUUCAACUACUAUAAACAAUUUAACUCAUUUGUGUGUGUGCGCGCGCCAACUACUAUAAAUAAUUUAACUCGUGUGUGUGUGAAAUAGAUAAAAAGUUUACAUCUUGAAAUUUUGCUUAAUUUUAGAAAAAAAUUCAAGUAAUCCGACUAACUCAAAUGUUUCAUGGUUAGAUUGAGUUGAGUUGGAUUAUUAUUCAAGGAGUUUGUAUACUAAUAACCUAAUUUAAUAUCUUAUAAGAUGUUGAAAAACAACAAAAUAGAGUAUGAGUUAGAAAAUGAGGUUUCACACCAACUCAAAUGAAGGGAACAAUGAAACUUACCAAGCUCGUCCUAGCUCAAAUGAAACACAUAGGGUCGAAAUUCAUGGAAAAACUUUCCAAGUCAAACCAAUUUAGAGACAAUCAUUAUGCUUCAAGGCUAAAUGACAAGCUAGAGCUAAAAGACUUCAUGAUUGAUUAAAUACUUGUUUACAAACUAUUUUCAGUCUUUAACGACGAGCUACAACAAUUGAAACUUCGAGAAUUCGAAUGAAACGUGUAAAAUAUAAAUAUAACGAAAAUCAAAUAAGAAAUAUAUUUAAAUAACAAAAUGGUUAGGAUGAGAGAAUAAAUACCAUAUAUAUAUAUAUAUAAAAUCAAAUAAUAUAAUAAUGCACAUUAACUAAUAACCAUAAUAGCAAUUACAAUAUAUAUUAUAUUAUUAACAUAUAUUUUUAAAUAUAGCAGUGAAAUUGAAAUUAUCUACAAACUAGAGAAAAAUCAUCAAAAUUAUUCUUUUUCUUAUUUUACUUUAGCAAAUUUGACAAAAAAAAAAAAAAAAAAAAAACAAA